CAUUUCAGCGCCAAGAACAAAGAUUGCUGAAAUGUAACCAUACAUUUCAGUAACUCAGAUAUGGCGUCUUCUCUGGUAGAACAAUAGUUUGCAUUGAGUUCUGGAAUAACUAGCUAGAUGAUACUAAUUAGAAGUUGAGAUUAUUUUCAGUAGUGCUCCAUAAUCUUGAAAAAACUAAAACUGUUAUUUUAAGACAACAACCACGAGAUUUGAAAGACAGACCUAAACAAACUCCUAUAAAUGUAGAUAUGACAGACACUAGGAUAGUCAGAGAUUUCCUUAAACUAACUGAAUAUGUAGGAAAUCCUUAUUAUCAGCAAACACUAAAAAGCCAAUUAACACUAGGAGUUGGACUUGGUUUUUACCCUUGUUAGCUUACACAGACUCCUUGAGCUGCACUUGAGUCUGAUGCUGAGCACCAUACCCUUGCUCCAAGUCAACAAACUCAUCAUCUUCCUUAGGACCGAAUAACGAAGCGCCAGAAUGCUUGCCUCCAAACUCUUCUGCCUUGUAACUUUGAGUGAAAUUGGUUGAAUAUCCACCAAGUUGAUCUGCUUGCAUUUUGUUUUCGAAUUCGCUUGAUACAUUCGUCUGUGUCUUGCUCAGCGACACAACCACCCCAACCUCGGGCUUUUUCUGAUCCAUAUCUUGUGAUAUUUCGAGCUACAGUAGUGUUUAAGAUUGAGAUGGUUGUUUUGUGAUAUGGAGAUGCAGCUAUUUAUAAGGUCUUUCCUCACUGUUUUUGUUAUAGGCCGGGCAGUAACGAAUCCUUCAGUGUUCAAAGCUGCACAAAUAAGGUGUGAUACAGACCUAACACUACUACACAGACAAUGUAUGAAGCAGAAAGCAUAAAUUUGAUUAGAACUCUAAAAGUACUUACUGGGUGCAGGGUGAAAAAAAAAAAAAAAACGUUUGUUUUGUGUUUGGAUAUAUAUUUCUCUCUAGUUCUGAAAACUCUUUCAAAAUAUACGAGCGUAACGUCUAAACUGUGUCAGUAACCUUUUCUUCCUUACCUUCAUUAUCAAUUCAACAAUAAAUAUAAACAACACAUUUAACACGCUCGAUACACGAAUCCGUCUGAGAAUUCAAUAAAGUGGAAACGAGCGGUGAACCCACAAAUAAGUAAGCGUAGGAAUUCUCUUUUCAAUUUCAUUCCAUGUAAGUAAACCUGCUAUUUUAAAAAAAAAAUCUUUUUAUUAAUAACUCACACACCCUACAUAUGUUAAUUAGGUUUAAACUCAUGACUUCAAAGUUGUCACUUAAACACCUUGACCUAACUCGUUCCGUCUAAUUUCCUGCCCGUGAGUAUAUGCCACGUGGCUAUACAUAGUAGCAAUUAUACACCCAAACACACGACACUCCUACUCCAACAUCCCUUCAGCCUCGUCCUACUCUCACAGUCGCCGAUCCCUGAAACCCAUGGCCUCAUUCGCCGCCAGGUCCAUGCUCCGCUCCGCCGCCGCCAGAACCACCACUCUGGGUUCCCGGGUCGCCUCCGCUGCCCGACCCAAACCCGCCGCCGCACCAUUCAGCAUCCCCAAGCAAAACAACAACCCCAUCUCUCACGCCCUUUUCAGGUACAUCUAAAACCCUAAACCCUGAUUCUGUUUCUGUUAUGAUUCUUCAUUUUCAGUUUCAACAUUAUUGAAAAAAUCUUGUUUGGAUUGAGCUUGUGAAGGUCGCCUGUGGAGUUGAGCUGCUGCGUGGAGUCGUUACUUCCCUACCACUCUGCCACAGCCUCUGCAUUGCUCACUUCCAUGCUCUCCGUCUCGCAACGCUCUUACGGUUGGACCCCUCAAGGUAUUCCCUCUUUUGCAUUUGACUAAAUUCGAAUAAUUGUGGUUGGUAUUUGCUGAAAUGUGUUGUUUGUGGCAUUGAAAUUGGAAAAUGCUGAGGUAGUAAUGUAGUGUACAUGCUGUGUAAUGAGUUCAUUUACUUGCGUCAUGUUCAAUCUCGUUUCGUUUUGUGUACAUUUGUGAAUUGUAGACUAGAAAGACAAGUAAUACACAUAAAAGAAUUAUCUGGUUAAUGAUUGAUUUCAUGGUCUGAGUGUUGAUUUGGUCUUAGUUGCAGAGUGAAAUAGGCUUUUCCUUUAGCAAUUCCAUUCUUUUUAUUUAGUCUUUUUAUGUUUUUCUUUGUUUAGCCUCCGAUGAUCAUCUUCGAGCAUUUUGACAGCCAGGUGGCUAGGCCUCUAUAAAAGAUUAAAAAACCUCCCUGAAUUAGACUGAUCAAGAAUGCACCUUUUAGCAUUACUUUGGUCGACAUUUUGAUUACAUAAAGUUUUGCAUUAGGCGCAACAGAAACAGGAAACUUACUUGCACAAGAUUAUAACUUUUGCCUACAAUCUAGGUGGCCUAAUUGUUUCUCCUUUAAAUGGUGUUUUGUUUUUCUUUUUCUGAGGAAGGGGGGGGGGGGGGGGGUGAUGAUGACCGGAAGUUUUGAAUGUGUGAGACCAUCUUUUUGCCUACUUUUUCGAAAUUCAUUCUUUUCAUUGGGUGGUCCCAUCUUUCUGUAUUUCUACUGUCUUGCACAAUGAAAGAAUGCAUGUGCUUUGUCUUCUGUAGGGAAAGACAAGACUAGAUGAGGAUCAAGCAUCAAAUAUGGAGUGAUUUGGAUAUGUUUUUGUUGUCAACUUUUGAGAGUGUUAAUUGGUAACUGUUCUCCAGUAGACUAGAUGAGAAGACCCUCAACUUAAAAUUAUGUGGACAUUUGAUAGGAUGAGCUCUCUAUGUUUGAUAACAAUAAAAUUUUAAGAAUUUGUUUUCUGUAUCACCUAAACCAAUUGUUUAUUUUGUGUUUUUUGUUUGGUUGACAUAGUUGUGUUUACAUUCAGUAUAUUGUUUGAACUUUUAUCUGUAACUCAAGUAGUAGACAUUAUCAUGCAGAGUUUUGAGUUUAUGUGUAAAAGUAAAUUUCAGAUUUGUGUAGCUAUGUAAGUUGUAUUUCAUUACUAUGAUAUGUGCUAUUUUCUGCUGAUAUGAAGACUGAAACUUUGAAUGGAAUUGUAGAAGGGUAGUCCAAUGUGGAAAUCCUAGCUGUAUUUUUUUUAUUGUCUUUGUUAUUCAUGUCAGUAUAAUCAUAUAGAGAUAGUAAUAAUAAUAACAAUAACAAUACUAAUUUGUUGUAUUCACUCAGCUUGCAAUGAUGAUGUGUGAUGAAUAUCAGAGGGUUCGAGCAUUAUGUAAUUGCGCUCUAAGACAAGGUGGUAAAAUACAGCUUUCUACUAGGGUUUUGUUAGAUGAUUCUGUGAGUCUCUAUAGCUGGACAAGGUGGAAAAGAUAAUCUGUCUGUAGUAGUAUGAUGAUGAUGACAUGUAUUGCACUUAUGUACAAUUUGGGUUCACAUUAACAGAUAGUUCUUCAUUGCAUUCUCUGAUGAAAUAAUUUGAUUGUUUUCUGCACUCACGUCUAGAGGGUUGCUUCCUUAAUGUGGGAUUUCCUCUAAUUACUUCACAGGGUAGUUGAGUGAUUGUACUUUAUGGUCGUAGAAUAAUUUUGGUACAUGCCAAUACAGUAAUUAUUUUCAAGAUGAGAACAUCGAAAGGAUAAUGGUAUUACAUUGCCAAAAAAAGAAGGAUAAUGGUAUUAGUUGAUGGUAUUUUUGACUGUUAUUAGUUAAUGGUAUUCUUCCUGGUGCUGCCACCUUCUCCUUUUAAAUCUUUCCUGAGCUCCCUUUGACUUCCACUGUUUCUUUGUUUAGGCAAUGAUGAUUCCUAAUCAGCAGACUUCAGAGUUUGGCAUAAUGGACACUUGUUUUACCGUUUUGAAAUCAAUAUGGUUCCAGUUACUGGAGAUCGGGCUAUAAUCUCAACUUAUGUGUUCGGCUUGCCCACUAAUAUUUCCCGAUUCAUUCUCAGUGAUUUCAUCUGAAUGAUCGGAAUCAAGCUGUUUAUUCGUUAAUUCCUUUGGUCUAUCUUAGGAUUUCUACAUUGAACCGAAAAUGUACAUGUGAAGGAGAUGGAACAAUGAAAUGAGAUGACCAAAUUUAAGAUAAUGCUUCGAGUUUUCAACUAAGAACCUCAAAAUUAUAGGUGUGUAAUGUGUAAGGCUUUAAGCGGUGGCAGUAACCUUGUAUGGUUUUUCAUCAUAUAGAUUUUACAGUCAAUACGAAAACAGUUAAUGUGCCCAACAUGUGAUUUCACUCAAAAGUUCGAUAAUGUAGAAAUAAGAGAGAACGUACAAAACUUACCAAAUUUAAGACAUUGCUUUGAACAAGGAUGUUCAAGUUGUAAGUGGGUAACGCAUGAGCAGUGUCAAUAACCUCAUAUAGGUUUUCAUCAUAUCGAUUGUAAAAGCACCGCGUGAAUUCGCCUAAAAAUCUGUUAAAGUGGAAACGAGCAGUGAACCUAUAAAACUUACUAAAUUUAAGGUACUAAACUCUUUCAAAUUGUAUGCACGUAACGUUUAAACCGUGUUAGUAACCACUCUCACUUUUUCAUCAUAUCGAUUCAACAAUCAAUAUAAACACAUUUAUUACGCUCGAUACGCGAAUCCGCCCGAGAAUCCGAUAGAGUGGAAACGAACGGUGAACCCACAAAACUUUACCAUAAUUCAAGGUCCAAAUUUAUUUACGUAUGGAAUAAAAAUAAUCGAAUCCCAUUCCACACGUCAUAAAUACAUGGAUUCGGGUCACACACACCCACCCAAAGAGGCCUAAACCCGAAACUAUAACGAGUAGUGGAAAUGGUACACAACCGGUUCAGAGCGCCGGGUUAGGUCGGUUGGCGAAUUGACAGUUAAAAAACCUCAGUCUCCCUCCCUCCCUCUCUGUACGGAAGUCGUUAGGGCUUUAUGGGAUCUCUCUCUUUCUCCGCCGAUUAGGGUUUUAGAUUCCCCAUUUCUCAAAAUUGGGGCUUUUUUCGUUCCUUCAAAUUUCUGCGCUUUCUUCUCCGAUUCCAUUUCCGGCGAGUUCACGGAUUGCUUCACCGGAAAAAAGGUACGGACUUUGAGGCUGGUUUGAUUCUGGGUAGGGUAAUUGCGUUUUGGGUUUCUGGGAAUUGGAAAUGAAAGAUUCGAGUGGAGUUGAGGCCUUGUGUGAUUGAAAAGAUUGGUCAUUUUUCAAGUGAUUGAGUCAAGUUUGUGUUUUUUUGUUGUUGUUUUGUGUGAGAUUUUUAGGGUUUGUGUUUUUGAUGUGGUGAUCAUGCAGGGAUGACAGAGAUUGAUGUAGAGCUGUGCAUGGAGGAGUUUGUGGCGAAAGUCGAGGUGGAGGAUCAGGAGAAGCUGGAGCUGGAGUAUGGUGUUGAAAUCGCACCAGAGGCCGUGGUGUAUGCGUGUCGAAUCAUUAGGCAGUACCCUGAUGGUUAGUUUUAUUCGUAUUAGGAUCAUUUCUGCUGUCAUAGUCGUGAUGUAUUGUUGAUUUUGGUGGAUGGUGUUGUGUUUAGUGAGAGAGUUUUGAUAAUGUGUGUUUGUUUUUGUUGGUCUGUAGCUUUUCAGUUUAAUUUUAGAGGAACACUGGAUGAUAGCCAGAGGGCGAUUUUGCAAAUAAAGGUAGUGGAGCUUUUGGAUGAGGCUUGUUUAAGAUUGAGGCAGAGGUUUGACUACUCGAGAGAAGGAGAGGAUGAACUAGAGGUUGGGGAGUACAGGCUGCAUCGUGCACUUGUUGAGUUGGGUGAGAUUGAAAAAGAAAGAGAGCCAUCCACCCAAAAGUGGAGGGAUCGUGUAAGCUGCAUAUUCCUUAUCAACAUUAGUAUUUUUCUUCAUCUAGUCUUUCUGAGUUUUGAGUAUGCGUGUCUGAAUAAUAUCAUUAAUAUGUAAUAUGAGGUUGGUUUUGAUUCAGGUGGCCAAGGAACGUGAAGAACUAAACGAUGUUUGGAACACGUUGGAGAUUAAGUGGUUGGAAUUACAAGCUUCGCGGCAGAGAUAUGACAUCAGAGCUCGCGAGGCACUUUUGCUGGAAAGGAUGCGCGAAGGGCUGGUUUACUAUUUAAAUGAGGAAAGAACAAAGGAAAAUUUCUCCUGGAUAUUGCAAUGGCUUGAUGAACAUGUGACUGAGCUUUUAUAUACAACUCGCAAAGAUUUUAAGCAUGAGCUGACAGUUAGCUCACAUGUUAUCGCAGUGGUAGAUAUAUCUAUAUCUUUUACUUUACUCCCAUCUUUCUUGCUAGAAUUUUGCUUCUGGUGCUGGCUAGAACACAAUAAUCCAUGCCGAUCAUGUUCUUUACAUACUGAUAAAAUAAAAAACUGGUUGACUUUUCUUUUUGUUCUUAAUGGUUUUUAUAUUAAUGGUCAUGUAGGCAGCAAGCUUGUUCAUUGAUGCUCCACCACCACAGUUGCUUUCCGAUUCACUACUUCAGAACCCUGAAUCAAUUAGGAGGGUAAUUGGACAAGAUCAUGUUCUACUUGCAGUCAGUGCUGCUUUAUCGAGGCAGAGGCCUCCACGACGCCCUAUUGGAUCCUUCAUCUUCAUGUGUGGAUCUGGUUGUGGAAGGACAGAAUUUGCCAAACUUCUGGCCACUCUUGUCUUUGGUAAGAAAGACAUGCUAACUGAGUUUGAUCUAGAAAAGUACACAGGACCGAAUUCUGUAUCACGCCUACGUGGUGUUCUCUGUAGGUAAGUUCUCGAGUGAAUGGUGUGUUAUAUAUUUCUUUUUCAAGCUGAAAUCCCGUACUUUAAUUGUACUUCAUUUUUCUGUCUUGUUCCAGUAGCCAGAUUGAGCCAGGCAAGAAGGGAGAGCUAGGUGUUAAGAAGAGGCAUAUAGGUGUAGUUUUGUUUGACAAUGUUGACAAGGCUCCUGGGACUAUUAUUGACCUUUUGACCCAGAUUAUAGGCUUUGGUCAUCUAGUAGAUGGUAAUGGGAAUACCGUUGACUUCACUAAUACGAUGAUCAUCAUGACAACAAAUAUUGGAUGUGAUCAAUUGUGGCCUUGGAAUUGCAAAUGUGCUGAUGAAGUUCAAAAGUUUCCUGUCAAAGAAGGAUUAUUUGAUGAUGCAUGGGAAAGAAAUCAUAAUUCCUGCUACCUAUCACUUCUGAGGGAGGUAAGAGAGAAGAUUGAUUGAUAUUAUUUGGUUUAUCAGCUGUUAUUAUCAGAUUACCCUACUCACCUGUGCAUCUUCUCUUUUGCAGACAAAAAAUCAUUUUGGACCUCAAUUUCUUGAAUACGUAGAUGAUGUGAUUGGAUUUAGGUCUCUUUCCUCUCAACAGUUGAAGGCUGUUGCUAGGCUCCAGCUGCGGGACCUUGCCUUGUGCAUAAUCCAGAAAGGCAUCAUCAUUUACUCCUCUGAAGCUGCAUUGGAUGUUAUUGUGCGGAGAUCAACUUGGCCCGGAGAUCGAAUAGUAAGUCUUGUAUGAAUUACAAUAUUUUUUUAUUGAAAUUAUAAAGAACAUAUAUUUGGAAAAAAAAAAAAAGGAGAAACAAUACCUUUACAUGUUAGAAAACAAUACAUCAUAUGCCUUAAGCAGAUUCAUAGCACAUUUAGCAUCAAGAUAGAGAUCCCUACCUUGGAUAUAAUAUAUGCUUGUAACCUUACCGGUUUACUCUUUUCCCCUUUACUACCAAAUACAAAUUUUCACCAUCAUUUAUCAUGAUCACCUGGAGUAGAUUUUUCACCCUAAGUUAGAUAGGAUGCAUAAUAUCGAGAUUACACUUUUCUUGAUCCUUCUUCAGAAAUGUCUUAUUGUAUAAGUGACGCAUAUACAUUUUGGAGAGCUCGGUGAGCCUGAUUAAAAAAUUAUUUUUCUACAGAAUUCGAUAAGGAAUAUAUGAAAAUAUGUUUGAAUUCCCCUUCCGGUUAUUAUAAUCACUGAAUAACAUUAUAAGAAUUGAUGAUCAUAAGAAAACUCACUGAUGAUUACUGUCCUUUGGUAGACAAAAUUUUUGAUUGCUUUUAAUACUUUACCAGAAAGGUGGAGAGAAAAUAAGGAUGUGGCUGGAACAGAACUUGGUCCCUGUGCUCUUUGAGAUGAUUUCAAAGAAUGAGAUAUCUGAUUUAUCGAUCAUGUAUAUCGAAGCGUCAGUGCAGACGGAUCAACUAUCUUUCAGAAUGGAAAAGACUGGACGUCUAUUGGAAGAACGAGACGUUAAUCAGUUAGCCUCUUUAAAGGAAUUGAGGUUAAUGUAUCAGAAAGAGAAAGAAAGAGCAAAGAGAAUCUACAUGCUGAGAAAAUUUCAGAACAAAUUGUUGGCUAGUGCAAAUGCUGGGUUUGAUCAUGUUACGCAUGUUAUUCAAGAUCUGGUCAAUUUAAUUCAGGAUCUCAUUACAAUUCCUGGUAGCAUCAUCAGGUCCUUCCUGGAUAAUCCUAAAAAGGUAUAGAAUUUUGUUUUCACUAACAUUUAGUUUUUCCUGAAUGAUGGGGAUUGGUGUGUGUGUGUGUGUGUGGGUGGGUAAUACUUAGGUAAAUUUUUAUAUAUGAUACUUAUAUAUGGUUCUUAACUGUUUUCAGGUGGCAAUGGCAGCCUUGAACGAGGAUGAGGUUAGGCAGAACAAGAGGGCGAAAAGAGGGACCAAGUGACGAUCGAGGUGAAAUAGUGUAAGCAGAAGAUAGGCCUAUGAUCUUUAUUAGCCUAAUGGAGUACAAGUAGUCUAACUGCUUGUUUUUGCACCAUUAUUUGUAAAGACGACAUAGGUUUUAUUACAUCCUAUUGCUCAAAGGGACUUGGCAGAGCCUCAACUGCCGGAUUGAGGUGCCAAGUCGAUGUAAAUUAAGGCUUCAGACUAACCGGAAAGUCUUUUUUUUUUUUUCCCUAACUUGUAUACAACAAGGGAUUUAUAUUAUGGAUUUUCACAGUUGCAUAACUGAGGACAGUAGAUUUUAGCUGUAGUGUAAAGUGUAAACCCCAUCGUAUAUUUGCUCCAGAGCUUUCAUGUUGUGAAAGCAUUAGAACGGUAUGCAAUGCAACUUGUAAUGAGAUGAAUUAGGUGCUCACUCUUGAUCGUAUGGCAAAACCGAGUGCUGGGUAAUAGUAUCGAAGCACCAGAACCGCCGUGAAGCCCUUAUCAAUUACCGAACCCUAAAUGAACUAUAGCUAAAUUCACCACCGUACUGCCUAUGCUGUUGAUCUGUGGGUUUUGUUUUUUGUUUUCUUGUUUCACAAUCAUAAUCACUCCCCCUCAAAUUCCCAUUCUACCCCUCACGACAAACCCACCACAGCCGUCAUUACCCCAAAUCGGAUGGGCGAAUCCGUAACUCCACCCGGUUAAUAAUUAAGAAAAUAUAAAUAUAAACAAGUUGAUGAUGACGACGAGGGAGUGUGUAAGUUGCAUAGGUAAAAAUAAAGAAAAGAAAGAAGAAAGGCGCCCCAAUCUGCUUCUUCUCCAAUUCGAGUUUGGGGUCUCUGCAACCUAAUUCAUCCCACCUUCAAAUUCCACAGAGACCCUUUUCGCCUUUGCAUCCCUCACUUCGGUUUCGGGUUCUAAUUUCUUUUUUAAUGAAUCAGAUUUCUAUCUUCUUUUUUGUCUCUUCAAAUAGUUUAACUUUAUUUUUAAUAAUAAAAUAAACAUGUAUCGAUAGAUUAAAGAGGGUGGGUAUUUUGGUGAGCAAAUAAAGUUGGUCGACUAAUUUGUAUCCAUGAUGUAAACUUCAUAUCCACUUACGAACAGGAAAGUAUUCCAUUCCUGUUCAAAAUCUGCUUUAACAAACAGAGGGUAAGGUUAAAGGAUUUCAUUUAAAAUCCAAUCUUAUACCAAUCAAAUCCAAUUCCGUAUCCUAUCACGGUCCAGUCCGUGUUCCCAAACGUGGCCAAUAUCUUUUAAUAAUUGAUUGUCUCAAGAUUUCAAUAGAUUGAUUAUAAUCUCCUUAAUUAAAUUACCCAAACUUUCUAAAUUCUAGGGCAUCUAGGUAUUUAAAUUCUAGUAGCAUUCCAUGACCUAAAUUCUAGGCCGUGAACCUUCUUCUCAUAUAUGUUCAUCCAUCGAUCUGCUGCUUGCCGCCGACGAACUGGUAAGCAUUAGAUGAGAAUCACCAACUAUAUUUGAUGCUCUUGGUAAAGGUCAGCGUAAAUGAUAUACUUCACAUGAAAGUUCCUUAUAAAAAAAAAAAAACGACUCAAAUUGUUCAACUGAUUCGACUGAUUCUCAACCGAGAAAGAAGACAGCAGUGCAUGUGAGCCCUCUCCUCCGCCUCUCGUUUCGAUUCAUUCCAAUUGUAUUCGUUUAUUUGCUUUUGUCUGGUCAUAGAAUUUCAGUUUUUGGUUCGUGAUCGUCUCUUUGCAGAUCUGAAGAUCUAUCAUCUACCUUUUGUUGUUUGAUUUGUUGUAUUGCAUGUAGAGAGGAAUACUUUGUUGUUAUAUUGUUGCUCAAUAAAUGGACCGAGUACAAUAGCAAGGUUUGCAGUACGUAGUAGAUAGCAGAAUCUCAGGGUUCUGGUUCCUCUGUAUCUGUGAUGAGCAAAGAGAUAAUAUCAGUAACAAAGAUACUAUACUAUACUAUGUACGUAAAAGAAGAAGAUGGCUUACCGAAAUCACGUCUAAAUAUUGGGACUAUGGCUUUAUGUCUUUAUAAUCUAACUCAAAUUUGGAACUACUAUUGAAAUAUUAGCCUAGGUAAAGAUCACUGAGUUUAUAAUCCAACUACACGUAAAAUAUUAUGCCUGACUUGGAACCAACCUCUUCUUCUGGUUUAGUAUGUCUGUCCUAGUUUUACAGGUCUUUCAUUUUUUCUUUUACAAUACGCAAAUGCAUGAAGCCAAAAUGGAAGUACAUAGACAGAUGAGUAGCUAGUUAGAAACUAAUGCAUUACCAAAUGUUGAAAUUGUUUGUUUGUGAGUACUUUUCAACAUAUAUAUAGCAAUAAUAGAUGCCAAAUGUUUAAAUUCAAGUCUUCUUUCAAAGUAGUGAAAUAAGAUCAUCAAUAUAUACUAUGAAUUUGACUCAUUUGAAUUGAGCAUAUAUGUUGAAUCAGGAUCAGGCUAGGGCUCUCAUGCAACUUUGACCAUGUCGGUUACUGAGGCUCCAAGGGAAGUCAGCUACUUCAAGCUCCUGCCUGUACUAUAUGAAAUCCUCCGUACUUGGGAUUUGGAAAAGGCUACCGCCGCAAGUGUUCGCCGGCAUCUGGAGAAGGAUUAUGGGGCUGAUCUAUCGGACCCAAGUCGUCGUGUCACUCGUAUGAUUAAAGAAAAAAUCAACAUGUUUUUUGAGGAAGAGGAGGAAGAUGAUGAGAGUGAAGGUAAAGGAAUAAGAAGAAGAAAGAGAAAGAGAGAGACGUCGGAGAUGUGUAAAGUGUGUCCAAAGCUUCAAGAAAUUGUUGGAGAGGGUCCUGAAAUGGCCCGAGCCAAGGUGGUGAAGAAAGUUGUGGUUUAUGGCCGGGAAAAGGGUUUGCAUAGAAAUUGUUUCAUAGUUAAAGAUGAUAAACUAAAGGCCCUUUUUCCUGGCGAACAUUCCAUUCCUGUACUUCAAAUCGAUAACCUCCUGUCCAAGAACGGUCAUAUGCAGCCGAUUAAAGGUAUGCUCUUUUCUUAUGUGCUUGCAUUCUGGUGAUCACAUAAAUAAUUUGAUCUGCUCAAAAAUGUUAUGAAUGCUGAGGUAUAUAAUGAGGAAAAGUCAUAAUCUUGUUGAUGAUCCUGCAGUUAUGAAGAGGAGGAGGGCGAGGAACAAAAUCAAGACUUGUGAAUGUGAUCAAAGUCAGAAGAAGGAUAUGCAACAGAAACAUAGCCUGCUAGCAGAAGAAGACAUAAGAUCAUGGGAUGCAUUGCCACACGAUAUUCUGGUGAAGAUCAUUGAUCACCGUUGCGGUCCACUUAAGUACUGGGCAGGUUAUUCACCAGCUUUGUCCCCCAACUAUGCGUCCGUCAGCCACUCAUGGAAAUUGGCAGUCCUUGAGCUAGUGAUUCCACCUAAUAAUGAUGUGCUUGAUCUGCGAGUCCUCGAUUCACAUCCCUGGAAAACCCGUCCUAGGAGGUUCAUUUAUUACCUCAGGAUUGCCUUCAAAUGCCGACCUGCUACUUGGACAACACUUCACUUUCCCGAUAAGGCUAUAUUUGUUGAACGUCCCUAUCUUCAAGAUAACACUACAAUCAUCAAAAACGAUAUCCUCACUUUGAUAGCUGAGAAGUACGUUCUAGACUUCUAGUUUUUUCUCAAUUUAAGGUGAACGGUAAUAUCUAUUUCUGAGUUAUGUAUAGGCUUCACUAACGUUUAUGCAUGUGGAUGGACGUUGCAGGACACCAGAACUGAGGAAUCUCUUUCUACCAACAGAGCUGAGGGAUAAUAUAUUUAGCAAGUUGGCACCCAACUGGAAGAAUUUGAGAAAAGUACGUGUAUACCUAUCUGCGUAUAAUUUUAAUGUUCUCCAAUCAAAUUGCAAAUUUAUAGAGGAGCUCAGUGUGUAUGGAUGGAAGAUGGAUGAAAAUCUAGCAUCCAUGCUCCCCAAAUGGUUCCCAAAUCUCAAGUCUUUAGAGAUUCGUGGGUUUACAAUGUCGAACAGUGUCCAGAGAAUCAUAACGGACGGUCACAAGAAUCUUAAGCUACUUGAUACACAAGCGUACUUCUACCGUUUCGCUGAGACUCAUGUCGGAUCAAGUUCAGAACCAGAGAUGUCAGCUGGGACUAUCAAGCAGUAAUCGAAAGGCUCUUUUUAUGAUUUGUUUCACCCACAUCUAAUGUAUCAAACUCUAAACAUGUUUAUGAUUUGUUUUCAUAGGACGUCUUCGUUGACAGUGAUAGUCGCAUGACCGCAUUUUUGAUUUGAAGCUUUAUUGUGUGUUUGAUGAACAUGAAAGAUGAUGGCAUAUGAUCAAUGACCAUUGUUGUUAAUUCUAAGUUGUUCACAUUCCUCCGCAGUGCGUAUUGCAUCUGUUUGAACAGACAUCAGUACUCAUUGCUUAUAAACUUCGUCUUGAUCGAUGAAAAGAGCUGUCGGUACAACAAUUACACAUCGAUUUAAGGGUUUACCUCCUUAGCCACCGAAUAUGAAAAAUUAUCAAAUUUAUACUAUGUUUGCUUCUCAUAUAGGUAAACCGCUUAUGUGAGUUAUGUCCUAAUUAACUUUCGCUCCAAGUUAGUUAAAUAAAUAUGGCAAGAGAGGAAGUAUGAUAUAAAGAUUCUAAGCAAACACCACAAAGAAUUUAGUGAUUAAAAUUUGAAAGUACAUUAACAAGAAGAUUCAAUGCAAUCCAAAACAAUAGGAACUCUAGCUACCAGCUAAUUGAUUUGAUUGCCGUGAAUGUAAAGCUGGAAUCCUCUAUCCCUAAUGUCCUCUACGGCAGCAUUAUCCAAAUUCAAAUUGCAGGCGAUAAACAAGUAGGGUGGGAUCACCAUAGCGUCCUGCAUAGCUUGCAAAUCAAACUGAAUGUUUGUAUCCACCAAACAUAAAGUAGCAUGCGCUUGGUCAUAUGCGUCUUGUUGAUUAGCAACAACUUGCACCCUGUUAACAUGACGAGUAAAGCAACCCAUGAUCGCAUUCUCAUUCACCAAAGGAUCAAAAAUGCGAAGCGUUGCACCUUCCGUCAGAAGAGAUUUGCAUACCGCUAUUGCAGGUGAAUUUUUAAGAUCGGCUAUGUUGCUCUUAUAUGUAACACCAAAGUCUAUAGGCAUAGUUGAUUUUUCCACAAUAAUUUUCGACGCCUGAGAAGCUGUCAUUAUACUUCUUAUAGCUCUUUCCCAUUGGUCGAGGUCCAAUCUAGAUCUUGCUCCAAUACCACACCCUUUGGUGGUAUCUCGACGCCGAUAAAAAUCAUCUGUGCUUCAUUGAUAGAAUUUUCCACUUGAUCACUAAAGAACAAGUUUGCAUGAACGACUUGAUGUAGUAGAUGUUGAAAGCCUGGCUCUACAAAAUCAAUGUCCAAUUGCUCCCAACGUUGCACGAGAUCGACGUCGUAAUCAACUAUUGUGACCGUCACUUGAGGGUGUGCUGCGGCAAUUACCGCCAUGCUCAUAACACUAGCGUGUCGGGCGCCUAUACAACAAAUGUGAUUAAUUUCAUUCAAAUGUUCAGGAGGCCCAUUCUGAUUCGCCAUCACGUACAACUAGAAGGAAAUAAAUUUUGAAGAACAACACCUCUUCAACUCUGAAUUGCAAUGGCUAUGGUAGCUAUAUCGUUCUCGUUGCUCCUAUUUAUAGGGUCACAGUUAUGAUUAGUCCAGUCUACAAUAGGGAAUACCUUGAGGUUCACUUUAGGAAAGCCAUUAGAGAAAUCUUCCCAAAGCCUUGAGGAGUAUAUUGGAACCAAACAUAAACAAGGAAUACGCCCAAACCCCACGUCAAAGUAGGAACGAUACUAAAUCGCCUGCAAAGAUUCUCUAGCCAAAUUGAGAAAGUUUUGAUCUAGGAAAAGGGAAUUCGUAAUCGUUGUUGUUGUUUGCAUGGAAUAAGUAUGCAAAAUAAAACGGGAAAGAGACUUUGAGUAGGUAAUAGGUCGAUGUGUACAUGAACCGGAGUCUUUUACUCGAUCACAAUAGGCUUAAUUCUAAAGCAAACUAAGCAAGUAUGGAGAUCGUUUCCAAACAAAAAAACAAAAAAGUAUGGAGAUUAAACUAAAUUGAAAAAGCUAGGGAAUACCUUGAGGUUCACUUUAGGAAAUUAGAGAACUCUUCCCAAAGCCUUGAGGAGUAUAUUGGAACCAAACAUAAACAAGGAAUACGCCGAAACCCCACGUCAAAGUAGGAACGAUAUCAAAUCGCCUGCUGCUGUUGUGCAAAGAUUUUGAGGGGAAAGGGAAUCCGUAACCUUAGUUGUUGCUUGCAUGGAAAUCAUUAGUAUUCCUUCUAAGAUCAUACAAAAUCAAUAGUAUUAGUAUCUCAAAGAAAUAUGAAGUCUUUUUCCACAAAAUCUUGAUCAAGUAUAUCAUCAAGCACCAUGAAACAUUAUGAAUUCACUAAUAUAACUUCUGUAAUCUUAAGUAAACUAAACCACAAAACCUUUCUCACCAGACAUUCACUGUGGCAAGCCUUCUUCAACUUCACUCCACCUAUCUUGAUCCACAGUAAACUUCUCCUUCAUCUGGCCGAUAAGCCCCCGAGCCUCAGCCACCUUCCCAAUGCUCACAAGUCCAUCCACAAGCACCCUCAUAUUCUCAUAUUUCGGCAUCCAAUCCUUCCCAAUGCUCUCCUUAGCAAACCUCAACGCGCUCUCGAAAUCCCCUCCUAAACACAAGUAGUACACCAGCAUAUAGUAGCAGUUACAAUCCGGCUUCAACCCCCUCUCCACCAUAUCCCCAAACAUCUUCUUGACCUGCUCAUAAUUCCCCUCCUUGCUAAACCCCCGGAUCAAAUGUUUAAACGUUACCACAUUCGGCUUCAUACCCCUCCCCAGCAUCCCAUCCAAUAAUGCCGCUGCCUCCCCUGACUUCUUCAUCUUGCAAAGACUCUUUAUCCUCACAUUGUAGAUAUCCACCCCCGGCUGGAACCCGAACUUAACCAUCAAAUUAAUCACGUUUUCGAAAUCUUCCAGCCUCUCCUCGCGGUAAAAUCCCGCGAGGAGAUGCGCGAAUGUGUCCCCAUCCGGCUUGAUUUUCCUCAUUUCCAUCUCUUCCAGCACGGCGUAGGCAUUUUCGGUGGAGCCGGACUCCGAAAACGACCUGAUUAGGUGGUUGUAGGUGGUGAGAUUUGGCUCUAUUUCAUAAAUCUUGGGAAAUUCAGCGUAGAUUUGAGUGACUUGUUGAUAAUCCUGGGCGGAAAUCAAAGAUGAUAGAAGAGUGUUGAGGAGUUCGACGUCGUGGGGGAUACCGAGGUCGGAGGAGCAGCGGCGGAAGGUGCGGACGGCGUGGUGGGGCAUGCGGGCCUGGCCGUAGAGGAGGAUGGCGUGGGAGGCGGAACGGUGCGUUUUGAGGGAGAGGAGGAGAUCGUCGAGGAUGGAGGGGAUGAGGUCGGGGCGGGUGGAGUCGCGGAGGGAGGUGACGGCGCGUGAGAGGGUGAUGCGGUGGAGUUGGGAGUAGUCGGGGGUGAGGGAGGCGGAUUUGCAGAGGGAGACGAUUUUGUGGGGGUCUGUUUCGGUUUUGAGGAGGGCGAGGAGGGAGCGGGUUUGGUCUUUGGAGGUGGUGGUGGAGAGGCGGCGCGUGUGGAGGAGGAGGAGGGAGUGGCGGAGGCGGGAGAGGAGAGACAUCUUCAACAAACCCUAGCACACCUGAGGGCGGGAUGAGGUGGAGGGUUUCCUAGGGUUUCACAGUACGUGGAGAAGUAGCUGAAAAGGGACUGAGAUUUUGGGGUUAAAAAAUAAUAUAAUAAAAAGUUGGUGAAAAGCUAAAAAGAAAAAUCCGGGUUAGAUGGGAUUUGAACCCGACGUGAAUCGAACACGCAACCUUCUGAUCUGGAGUCAGACGCGCUACCAUUGCGCCACGGAUCCCCGGUUGCUAAGUUCGCAACUCUUAAAUUUAUUUAUACCUAUUGCAAGUUAUUUCACAUCCCCUCGUUACUCACAAACAAAAAUUUUAAGCAUAUAGAAGUUUGGUGCUUGUUUAUGCAUUCUUCAUCUCAUCAUCGACCAACGCAUCAAAUUAUCAAUGUAUUAAAGUGUUUUGAAAUGUCACUCAAUAACAUGUAUCUGUUAAAAAUACAUAUAUAACGCGUCGCUCACUCACGACGUUCUCGAAUACAUAUAGAAGUUUCUGACAUCUACAUUUCUUCUGAAUUCGACUCGAGUUUAUAAGCCUUAUGAACAAGAACAUUGUAUGUGUAACUAAUAGUACCAAAAAUAGUGACAAGUAGUCUUGUCACGAUGUCUAGCUAGCCGACUCACAUGGACAUGAUUGGUGUCUGGUUUUAUAUAAAGGAAUUCUUGAGUGUGACCAGCAUUAACAGCUAUAAUUUGGAAGCUUUGAUGGGCAGGUAGACGAUUAAGUUGGUACCGUGGCACUAUUCUGGUCUACAGCUAAUUAUCCUUUUCUUUUGUAUUUGCAACUAAUUAAAUUACAGUUAGAUAAAUCCUACUACACGUGGGGAAGUCCCAACUAAUAAACGAUCCACACAGAGUUUAGUUAAAUAUUAAAGCCAUCGAAAUCACACGACAAUACACUCCUUGUCAAUUAGGCAUUGAUUAGUGAAUAACCAAAUGUCAUUACAGAGAAUCACUAGCUUUGACUCAUAUGUACGUAUCAUUGUAUAUUAGGUGUGUUCUCAUUUCUAUGUGUUUUGUACAUGGUAUUGACUUGAGAAGCUUGACAUUCAGAUCCUAGAGGUUUAAUGUUGUUAACAAAAUAUGGUUGACGUCCUAGGAUCCUAAGUAACCAAUUUGGUUAUAUUCGUCCUCUUAUACGAUACGAUUUUGCUCACAUUUAACACGCGCACAAUAUCGCAUGUCGGGACAUGAUUCAGUACACAUUGCAUUGAGGAAUUGCCUUUGUAACUGCAUCACACAAAACAAUUUGUAACUGCAUCACCUAAUUCAUGAUUUUUUUUUUUGAAUAUUAGUAUUCAUGAAAUUUAGGUUAACAUGUUUGGUCAGCUCAUGAUAAUCUUAAUUCACGUAUAUAUCAACAUCAAUUGGAAAACUAGUGUACUAAUAAAAUUAGUUGGGAGGAAGAGGAACUAUCUUAUAUAUCUUACAUGUGGUGCGAGAAUGACUUGAUGUAUUAGGCAACUCUAUCUACUUUGUUUGUUUAACUAAUAUUCAAAAAAGCAUAAUUAAGAUGUUGAUGUCAAAGUCGUAAAAGGCAGUGUCUAAUGUCAAUUCGUGAUAGGCACACUUUGUUUUUAGAUACGUGUAUGGGCGUGUAGCCAAAUAGCCAAGUCCAAAUAAAGGGACAUGUCUUUUCCACAUUUUCAUAUACCUAUUUUUGCGAUGGAAAAAUAACAAAAUAAAAGUACUACACUAUAAGUUCAACAUACAAAUCCACUGGUGAAAAUUGCUCAAAUUGCUUCAAGUAUAAUGUUCUCCUCGCCAAUUGAGCUAAAAAUUACAAAUGCUAUAGCUAAAUAUUUUUUCUUCUUGGAAAUUUUUUAACAGUGGCUAAUAACAUUUUUUUAUCUAUAUAGAAUAAAGUGAACGGUAAGCUUAUUCUACAUAGAUAUAUAAGCAAUCAACGCUGUAUGGAAAAACUUAAAGAUAGCCCGAUAUAAUGUUACGACUCAUAAUUAUCUGGCCUUCCACAGGGUUGUGAAGAUGAGCUUAAAAGUUGGCUAAUGUUGUAUUGCUAGUUUUUCCUUUUUUUAGUCUUAAUAUUGCAUCUUCUCUAGUGAUUAAUAAAAUACGAUGAGUAGCUCGUCUAGCUCUUGCAAACUAAUUUUAGUGAUUGUGAGAAUUUUGAAAAAUGUGAUAAGAUUAGCUUAGUAUAUAUUUGUAACGUAAUAUCAAAAUUUAUUGUACAAAAAAAAAAAUCGAGGAAAAUAGUGAAGUCGACGAGCAUGGCAAGGUGUGAUGCCUCUCACUUUAGGAGAGAUAGUUGAUGAUUGGAUAAUUAAAAAUUGAAUAAGAGUUUUUGGCGCAAACUAACACCGCCAAACCGUCCUUGCCACGUAAUCCAAGCCAGAAGCUUCCCAUCACCUGCCUGUAAAAAUAGUGUAUGUGGAUCCCACACAGGGUAUAUUACAUCGCAUCUCCUCACCUGCGUCACGUGAUUCUCAUCACCACACCUUCCCUUAUAUUUUUUGUUUUUUUUCAAAAAAAAUUCAACAGGCAUGCUAAUAAUUUCCUGAUUUAGGCGCCCUGGUUAAAUUUAUUUGCCGCCUAAUGGCCUUCCUCUCAUCUCUUUUUCAUCCUUUUGGGUAAAUUAUUUUGGAACCCCUAGUAACAACUUCAAUUAUAAACAAACAAUCAGUAAAACACAACAAAUUAACUUUAAAAUAAUACUUUUCAUCAUUGGAUUUACAUUCAAUGGUGAUUGACCACGAUUUCUUUGGUCAGUAACUGAUCAGGUGAACCGUGAAUGCUAGUGCAUGAACAAAUGCUUACACUCAUUUUUGAUAUGAAGAAUUUUACCAUAUGAAAAUCUUAUACAUGAAAUUUGUACUUUAUACUAUUAUCUUUUUGGAAACGAAACUAUUAUCUAUAAAACACACAUACUUAAGCUAAUACUUUAAGUUAAACAGUAACUAACAUAAUUAUUUUAUUAAAUUAAUAUGUUUGUAUCGUCUUAAAAGAUAAGUAAUUUUGGACUGGUGUCAUGAUGUAAUUCAUGAAAAUAAGACAACUAACCAUCACAACUAGUCAAGUUGUUAAGAGUUUAUGUGCGAAACUCUCGUAUCUAAAUUUAAAUCCAGCCGAUACAGAUUUAAAUUUAAAUCUCAAUUUAUAGUUGCUGGCCAAAACACUUCCAGUCCUGUGUCUAAAAGGCUUUUGUUCUAUCAGAUAAUGACACUGACAGUAAGUGGAGAGAUAGUAACUUGUAAAACUCGUAACUAAUUAAUUAAAUGCAUAACUAACACAGCCACCUUUAAUUUCGUCCUAAAUCCCUUGUUCUCUCCCCUGAUUGGCCUAAACAGAAAGGACAAUUCAGUCAAAUUAGAUAUGUAGAAAAUCAAAGCCCAAUUUUACAACAACCACCGCUCCGUGCCAGCGACCAGCGUAGAAGCUUAGGUGAAAAUUGAGAGAGAGGACCAAGCUCUCACUCACUCGCUCUCUUUUUCUCUCUCUGAAAUCUUGGACCGUCUGGUAGUGGAGGUCCUCCUUUCUCUUCCCUCUCGCACAUUCUUGAAUUCAAUUACUGAGCUGUUUCUCUGUGAGGAGGACAGUUAGUUUCUUCGGCCGGUCUCCGCUUCUCUCAACGGUUUUGACCUUUUUUUUCACGGUGGAGCGGCUUCUCGGAGCUCGGAAAUGACGAGAAUGCCACCGCUGGUGCUGAGCUCGGCGCCGAUGGAGGUCGCGGCGUUGGUGCUUAGCUGGUGGGACGAUAUUAACGAGUCGACUCAGUGGCAGGACGGCAUCUUCUACUUCCUCUGCGCCGCCUACGCUCUCGUCUCCUCCGUCGCUCUGGUCUCACUCUCUUUCUCUGAUUUUGGCUAGGUUUUGUUUGUGAUUCGAUUUCGUUGCUUUGGUUUUUCUGUGGAUUUGAGUAGAGGUUUGGGAUCGGAGUUUCUGAUUUCGCAGUAGUCAAUUCUGUGUUGCAAUAGUAGUAGACUGUUGCAGAUUAGACUGAUUAGUUUGAUAGUUUGUGUGAUUCAAGUGGCGGCCGCUGUCAUUGUCAUUCUUGACGUGUAGAAUUGGUUAACUAGUUACUGUUAGGUGAUUGUGAAAUGAGUGAGUUGAAUUGAGAAUUUUGUGUUUUGUGAUGCGCAGUUUCAACUAAUAAGGAUUGAAUUGAGAGUGCCGGAAUACGGUUGGACUACGCAGAAGGUGUUCCAUCUUAUGAAUUUUAUUGUCAAUGGAGGUGAGAUAACGGCUGCAUUAGUGCCAUUAGGAGUCUGUUAUCAUGGUUUCUAUUUUUUGUUUUGCGGUUUUUUGUUUUGUAUUGUUGUAAUGUUGAGCUCUGAUCGGGUUCUUGCUGUUGCAGUGCGCGCAAUUGUGUUUGGAUUUCACACACAAGUGUUUCUAUUGCAACCCAGGGUUAGUCUUUUGUAGUUCAGUUAGUCCACAUCUUUUACCUACUCGUUUAAUUCUUUGCACUUGCGUAGGGUUUUAGGAUUAACAAACUGAUUAUUGUUGCAUACAUUUGUUGGCUACAAAAGUUGUUGUUGUCCAGUGCUAAUUUUAAAUAGGGGUUCAACAUUGAGGCUACAUUUGGUAUUUGAAAGAAAUAAGAACAUAAAAUGAAAGCAAUCAGUGUUAGAGUUAUAUGCUAAACUGCUGCAUGUUGAACCAGGUAUUAAUAUUGGUCUUGUUGGAUCUUCCUGGACUGCUGUUCUUCUCAACGUACACACUUCUUGUCCUCUUUUGGGCAGAGAUAUAUCACCAGGCAAGUGCCCUUUUUUCUUGCACGGUAUCCUUGAUGCUGGUAUUGAUUUCGUGUUAUCUGAAGGCCAAGACAUCAGUUCAACUAAUUUACUUAGAUAAAGAACUUAUGAAUGGGGUCAUUGUUCAUAAUCAAUUAGGGUUGCUGACUUUAUUUAAUCACUAUUACGAGCAGGCAAGAAGUUUACCAACAGAUAAGCUCAGGAUUGUUUAUAUUUCAGUCAAUGCUGGAAUGUACUUCGUACAGGUAUGCUCCAUCUUACCGCUUUUCAUGUACUGCAUAUGUUGCAUUCCCAUAUCAUCUGUUGGUCUAUUUUUGGGUUCUCCAUCUUAAGUGUUGGUUUGUAAUGUGUAUUCUCCACUUUCUUUGCAUGUUUCAUCAUGAGGUUGCUCUAGUGCCUGAGCUGUAACCACUACAUGUUGUAUCCCUCUAGUAUUGUCUAUAUAAACAUUAAUAGCAGCUAAUUAAUUUCUAACCGAAAAUCCUUAGGAAUUCCAUUUGCACACAUGUUUAAACAGAUUCUUUGCCACUAGUGACUUGCCAACAAAUUUUGGUUUGCUAAUCUCCUUGAUCUCAUUGUACUUUGACCCUUGUACUUAUUUGCUUCAUCUUUCAAAAGAAGGUUGAGAGAACAAGUUCUAAAACUGUUAAGAUAAUUUGGACUUCUACGUCAUAUUUUACCAAUUCUAUGGCUAGAUUACAUAGAAAGGAAAUGAGGAUCAUUCUGGUUUUCCUAAUAAAUAUACAAUUCUAGUGCUCUGCAAGCUGUCUGGGUCUUGGCAAAUGCUUGUUUAAGAAUCUACUAUUGGAAGUAGUUCUUGCUUACCUCCUUGAUGAAUGGCGAAGGUUACAUUCAACUCCUUGCAGACAGAUGUCAACUUAGAUCCUGAUAGUGUGGUUGAGGGUUCCUAGUUUAAAAACAGUACAGGGUGUGAUUUAGUUGUUAGGACUUCAAAGAUUUGAUGUACCUUAUGAUAAAUGCGGAUUUCUCUUCAGAUUUGCCUCUGGAUAUACCUCUGGUUUGAUGACAACAGCGUUGUGGAGUUCAUUGGAAAGAUAUUUAUUGCAGGUAAGGACUGUUUCGAGUCCUGAUAGUUUUUGGUCUCCUAUUCUCGUCUCUCAUUUUUUCAUGCACACUGAAUUAUAUUGUACCUUUUUGUUCCAGCUGUUUCAUUUGUGGCUGCACUAGGUUUCUUAGUCUAUGGAGGAAGGUGAGCGUUCUGCAUUAUACAGUACUUUCAGCAUCUUGAAUAUGUCCAUUCCUUUCUGCUCUUAUAUUGCCAUGGAAUUGUAUUGGUGGAUGAUUAUAGACCAUGCCUUCAGGUUAUUUUUCAUGCUGAGACGUUUCCCAAUUGAAUCUAAAGGGAGAAGGAAGAAACUUCAUGAGGUUUGUACCUUGCCUGUCCAAGUAGAACACCUGAUUGCUAGACCCAGCUUGUUAAGAAUUUCAUGUACAUAUUUUUAGUUUGUAGUUUUCGUGUACAUCGACUGUCAGGGUCAUGGAGUACAAACGAUUAAGAUAAAGCCAAACAACAGUUCUUUUUAGACUAGUUCUACUGGCUAACAAAUGGGUUUUAAUUGCAGGUUGGAUCUGUUACAGCCAUAUGUUUCACCUGCUUUCUCAUAAGAUGCUUUGUGGUAAGGCUUAAUCUUAGUCUCUCGAAUUUAGUCUUUUCAAAAUAUUUAUCUGCAUUGAGAUAUAAUCUCAAAAGUAUAAAUUCAAAAUAUAUACAUCAUUUCCAUUCUUUCAUCAGAUGUAUUAAUUCUAUCGUUUCAAUGCAGGAUGUGUUGUCCGCUGUCGAUGAAGAUGCAACACUUGAUGUUUUGGAUCAUCCUAUUUUGAAUGUGAUAUACUACAUGGUAGCCUACCAAGCUUUUUUACUUUCAAGCUGAUUUUCUUGUCUAUUCUUUAACUUAUUUGGUUUUCCCCCUUCAAAAUUUUAACUUUGUCCUCUGCAGCUGGUUGAGAUCCUGCCCUCAGCCUUGGUCCUCUAUAUCUUGCGCAAAUUGCCUCCCAAGAGGGUAUCAGCUCAGUAUCAUCCAAUACGUUAGCUCAGCUCAGUAUCUACAUUCUUUGUGGUUUUUUUGGCCCCGUUAUUAUUCUUUAUGGAUUGGAGGUUUGAUGCUAAGAAAAAUGAGCAAGAUGAGGAAAGCCAGAUAAAACAAUCCAGAUGUAGUAUUCUGGUGCUGCCGGCAUAUUUUUUGUUUAGAUGUAUGUAUAUUACACAGCUCUCUGCAGCUUUGCCAAGGAAGACUGUUCAAUUUAAAUCCAUGGUGAUUUUGACAGUUACAGGUUCUCUGAUCAUGUUUCAAAAGGAAAAUGUUCAUGUAAUUUAAUGUCGUAGGUGAUCUGUAUGUUUUAGAGUUUUACAUCAUGGUGUGUUGAUGAUCUUCUAUUUGCAUCUUUUAGAUCACAAGGUUUAUUUGAUAAGGUGACAAAAAGUGCAUCCAAACAUGGUGUUCUAGCCAUUAUCUUCAUUGUUUUUAGAGUUUCACAUCAUAAUGUGUUGAAGCUGCAUGAUAUUUUUCAGUUCUCUGCUUAGUGCUGAGCCGCUUUGCCUGAAGGUUUUUCUGUUUUCCCAUUAGAAUGAAAACCAAUACGAGAACUAAUAGUCUAAUACAUCAUGUUAGAUCCGUUAAAAUCUGAUACGGUUUUGUUUGUAAUGGUCCACAAACCCAAAGACAAUGUAGAGACUAGAGUGAAAUGAGGACAGAAGAAUUUGAUGCAUUUCAAUUGAAGGAACUUGUGGAUUGACAUUGGUGCAAAAUACAUGCAACAAAAGUAAAACACCAAGGUAAACCAAAUUUGCUAGUGGAAUUGUGUGGUUUUCAAGGUAAGAAACUAUGAAACACUAGAACUAGAUCACCAUCGAAAAACUAGGAAACACUAGAUAAGAAAGACAGAAACAGCACUUUGAUCGCGCAUUGACGAGCUUUGAAUUUUAACAAAUGCACAAAAAGUAAUUAGCAUAUCACUGUAUAUCUCUAUAUAUUACAGAGCACAAAAUCCAUCCUAGAAGCCAGAGCCAUGACUAUUUCCACAUAAAUAUCCCAUAGCUAAGCCUUAUCAACCCGUUUUUUCUGAAGGUUUUAUCAAUCUUGGUGAAUUUCCUCAACAGGUGGAGGCGCAAAUCUCACGUUUGCUGGCCGUGCCACCACAACAGCCUCAUCUGCAAAUAGCGCUUUGAUAAAUGAAGGAGUUCUCAAGGGCCGACGACCAGUCAUUCGGGGGUAAACAUCUUCUAGAAAAUAAUAUGCAUGACCAGCAAUCAUUCCCUGAAUCAAAACCAACCAAUCAACAUGAAUAUCAAGGUCUAAAAAUGUAUAGAGUAACAAAAGCUAGUGUCUGGGAUAUUUUAUCCCAAUAACGUGAUCGUGAACUUGUGACAUGCCAACUGUUUUGCCGGUUUGAAAUCACAUACUCAAACAAUUUGUUAUCACCAACUUUUAUAAAAGUAAUAGAGCCAAUCCAAUUUAGCUGCUAUCAUGACUUGAUGGACACCAUCCACUAACUUAUUACAACUAUCAGUAACUAUAAGUCAAAAUGAAAUGAAAAUACAGCCUGGUAACUUAACGUCUGGGUUUGAGAGUUCUGCAAAAGGUUACGUUCAUUCCCUAGAGAUAUAUUGUGCAUAACUGGUCAGUUAGCAUCAUAAGCCAUUUACACAAGAUAUAUAUGCAACAAUACACAUACUAAGUGUUAGGGACAGCAAGACAGUAUUCCAGGUCGACUCUAUUAGAAGAUCCUAAAUUGAAAUGUCAAUACUAAUGGAAAUUCUUAAUAUAAAUAACAUACCAGGAGAUCCACCCAAGCGCUGGCCCCGACAAGGACAGAGAAGCCUAGAAGAAACUGGAACAAUUAUGAAAAACAUUAGACUUGUGAUUAAGGAGGAAAUGAUCAUGAUAUAUUAAAGCUACUUUACUAACACUUCCAAUGGAAAAACAGAAAUUAACAACACAAACAUGUGACACUUAAGUAUACUGACCCAUGGUAGGUAGGCUGCUGUGAAGUUAAAGAGUCCCAAGAAACUCAUGUGGAUGAAAGGGUUCUGCUUGCUCCACACAUAGACCUGUAAAGCAGGAAAGAAAAAUGGCUCACUACAAAGCAACCAACUUUUGGAAUCCAUCACAGUCGGAACUCAAAGAAAAAGCGACUAACCAUCAUGAAUGUCAGUGAGUUGCUGAGGAAUAUAAUCUUAGCAAACGACUCUGACAAAUAAGGUAUCAUUCCUCCAACCAAAACUAUCCCAGUCAACACAGAUGCACCGAACAAGAGCAUGUAAAAGAAAUCAGCUGUUCUCCCCCUGAAUGAGUUCUCUUCCAGAAGCUUGCAGUACCGAGCAAGGAAGAACAUGUGGAACAGAAAAUCCAAGUCUGCCACAUUGCCAAAACACCACCACGUUACGAAAACCAAACACACUAGCAACUAAAUACAAUACACAAACACUUCAAACACAAAUAGUAACAAUCACCUAUCUUCCGAAAGUACAAGAAAUUAGUGAUGAGUCGCCAUAGCUGAUACUGCUUCACCACUAGUAUAGGGUUCAAGUACAGAUUAUGAGGCGAGAUUAUCUGUAAACAUUCCACCAUUAACAACCAUAAGUCUCCAAGCUUCAACGAAAUUGCAUUAGUAAAUCAAAAAUUAAAGCUAACCCAAUACAAUUCAUCCCAUGAUUAACCAAACCCAGCUCCCAGAUUCUAACAAAUCUCAUUAUCUAAGCAAAUCAUCCUGAUUUAAAUUCAUGAAAUUCUAAAGCUGAAGCAAAACCCAAUUGAAAUCGAGCAAAACCCAAUUCAAUAAACCCAAAGAUAGAGCGAAAGAUUGAAGCUUUUGAUAUAUACAUACAUCGAGGGAGCAACCGAUGCUGGUGACGACAGCGGCGGUGAGAUACCACCUGGUGAUCACCGGCAUCUGCUUGUACCAUUCUUCAACUGCUUGCGCCAUAAUUGCGAUUCAGUUCGAAAGAUUCGGAGGUGAAUCGAAAACCUAAAAGGGUUUGGGAAUUUUGGGUUUGAGAAACAAGAAGAAGAAGACGGAGAAUUUGAAGAGAUGCCAAAACAAAGGUGAGACGCAUCACAGUUUUGCUUUGUUUCGUUCUGGGAUUCUAAUGGAGGAUGCAAAGUGACUACUGCUGGGCUAAUGAAAAGGCGAGUGGCGGGGACGCACCAAUAAGGUUGUUACGUCACUAUUGGACCGGUAGAUGGUGCUGCUUGCAGGCUACAUUUGGGCUCAUUGGCACAUGGGCUAGAUUUUUUUUUUGGGCUUGUGUUGAAUAUAGCAAAGUUUGAGUCUUUGAGAGGCCGAUGUGGCGUUGUAUAUCGGUUCAAAGACUCUCCGACCGAUGUUUAAGUCAGUUGAGUGAUGAUUUUAGUAGCUUAAGAAUAGAGAACCAUAUCUAUUUCAAAAAAAAUGAAAGAGAAAAAAGAAUAGAGAAACAUAUCUAACUAUUUUUCUUAAGUCCAUAAGUUUUAGGAUCAGAAGAUACCACUAUUAAUGUGGUUCGAAUCUCACUGGGGAAGUAACUAUACGAUAACUUUGUCAUGGAUUGUCUUUACACAAUUUAGUUUCAGAACAAUUACAAUACGUCUUUAGGUUACUGAAUAUUUUGAUCGGAGACUCGAUAAUUCGAGAUUAUCUCUAUCAAUGUGUGAGUCGGAUAAUACAAAACUCGAUAUAAUCGGUUAGUUUGGUUAUAAUAUUUCGAGUUUUCGAGUUUUAUACCAAAUUUAAAUUCAACCAAUUUUGAAACAUUUUAUUGAUUUUAAUGAUGAAAAAGACAAAAAGAAAAGCCGUUAGGGUCGUUUUCGUAAACUCCUCCCUCCGAUCGAGAGUGUUCGAAGCCUCUUCAUCUCUAUUGCCCGCUUCUAUCCCUCAUUUUCAAAUUCAAAAACCAAAACCUCUCUCUCUCUCUCUCUCGCCUCUCAUCAAAUGGACGCCGCCGAACCGCCGCCGUCACCGUCACCGUCGCCGUCACGUUACAAACCCCCCUCCACACUCUUCAAAGACAUCUCCAAUUUCAAAACCCCAAAACGCCCCUCCCGAAUCUCCGAAUUCCACUCCCCUUGCCCCCAAUUCUUCACCGCCGCCAAACAAACCCCCCGGACAAACUCGUCAUUUCGCCGCCGCCCUCCGCCGUCCUCCGCCCGCACCAACGCCGUCCGCAAACUCAAGGCCGUGGAGCUCGAGCAGUCACAGUCCUCGCGCAAGGUCCAAAUCCGGAAGGAGCAGUCUCUGAAGUCUCUCGAGAAAUCUCUCACCGUCUGGCUCAAUUUCCUCUUCGAAAACCCUAGAUCCUGCGGCUGUAACUUUCCGGUCGAUGAGGAUCACGGCCAAACGCUCCGGAAGGGGAAGAGGGACAGCGGCUCCGGCGUCCAGGUCCGGGUCGACGCGGCGUGGAGGGAUCCGAAGCGGCAGAGAGACUCGUCAUGGAGAGGUGAGGAUUCCGAAGGUGCGGUUGCGUUUUCGAUCUCCAAGUACUCGAAAUUGCAGAGUUCUUUGAAGCUUUUGUGUAGUUUCGAUGAUUUGAUUCUGCGAAUGCGGUUUCAUUUGAGCCUGGGGAGUUGCCAGGAGGUUUUCGACUCGAUGAUUCAAGUCGUCAAGGUUUGAAUUCUUGUGAUUUCGUGCUAGUUUUGUUACGCGUGGUUUCGAUUUUAGUUCAUUGACUUGUUAAAUUUGCUUUCUUGGCAUGCAAACUAGUGUUAAUGAGGAUCUCAUAGCCGAAAUUGAUUGUUUUGUUGCUUUUUCAGAAAGUUAUAAUGCUAGAAAAUGAUGUCCAUUUGCCAUUUUUAGCUUAGACAGUUGAGACAUGCAUCUUUUGUUGUUGUAUUUUGCAGAAUAUUGAUGAAGGGAGGUUAAAGAUGAAGGUGCAUUGCCCUUUAGUGACCGAUGUUGGACUGAGAAAGAAGGCCACUAAAGUUCUUUUGAGUUAUAACCCAAUCUGGCUUCGAAUUGGACUGUACAUUAUAUUCGGUGGCGAUUCUUUGUUGUCUGACCGAGAUGUUAACUCUGAUGAGGAAGUCGCGUUUUUGAAGAUGAUCAUUGAGAAGCAACUGUUUGCACACGCUGGUCUAGCAAAAGAGUAUGCUUAUAACAAAAAGGUUGAGGGUCUUUACCGACCGGGUUAUUAUGAAGCUUUGGGAAAUGUCAUAUUGAAGAGGUUUCUGUUGCUUGUUAUUAUCCUGGAUAGAGCUAAAUCUCAGAGCUGUCUUUCUCUUAAAUAUGGUCUUGAUGGAGUGGAUGGGGGUUCUCCUUUAUUGUUUACGGUACAGUCUAGUAUCAAAUCAAGUCAACAGGUGAUCCAUGGUAAUUUUCAAUCCACUCGUCUUCUAAGUUUUUGAGAAACUGGUUUAUAAUUGUGAUUUAGGGUUGACUUCUCUCUUUUUGUUGUUCAAAACUAGAUUUUCUCUCAUCUGAUAUCAUGCUUGGAGAAGGUAACGUCUCAGCGCAUCUGGUGAUUCUCGGAUAUAAAGUAUCUCAUCAGCAGGUUGGUGGUUAAUUCUAUGCAUGCAACUACAUUUGCAUUUGUUUGGUCUGAGGGAACUCAGAAUCCUUUAAGCUCUGAUGCCUCUUAACAAUCGAGGCUGAGACUGCAUGUCAACUUGGCAUUUAGCGUAAAGAUUAUCUUACCAAUUUAGGAAUUCAUUUAUGAAAUUUGUCAAUGUGCAGUCUCCGAUCGUGGAUUUUGACUUUCGAGUUACAGAUUUGUUUGCUGAUCUUCAAGAUGGGUUGCACCUCUGUAGAGCUAUUCAACUUUUGCAGGAUGACUCCUCUAUCUUAAUGGUUGUUAUCUGAUUCUUUAGUUUUUGAAUGAAUAUGCUUGUUCAGUUUAUAUUUAGUAAAGUAUUUUAUGGUAUUUAGUGAUUUCAAUGUUCCAUUGCAUGAACAGAAAAUGGUUGUUCCAUCAGAUACACAUAAAAAGCACCUGUCAAAUUGUGGCACUGCCCUGCAGUAUCUUAAGGAGGCUGGUGUUGUUUUACACGAUGAUGGAUUGAUGAUUGUGGAAGAUGAUAUUGCUAAUGGGGACAAGGAACUUACCAUUUCCUUGCUUUGGAAUAUGUUUGUUCAUUUGCAGGUUCCUUUGCUCUCUCUCUCUCUCUCUCUCUCUCUCUCUCUCUCUCUCUCUCUCCCUCUCCCUCUCUCUCUCCCAUUUUUUUUAAACUAUUGCAUUUGAAGCCUAAUUAGGAGUUUUUGUUCUAUACUAGUUAGUAACAGUCUUCACGUAAAUUUGACAGCUACCUCUUUUGGUCAAGAAAACAACAUUAGCUGAUGAAAUAUGCAAAAUCCGGGGAACUAUGGUACGCCUCCAUGCAUGAAAUCUUGUCUUGUUUUUUUGGGGUUGUUAUUAUCUUCUUUCCUUUUUAUUACUCUUUAUUUUGCAUUUAUUUCUCAUUUACAUGUUUUAGAGUUGGAAACUUGAAGUCACCCUUGACAUUGUUCAUUCCUUUUCAAAUUCACAGGAUAGCUUUAUGGAUGUUGAUUCUGCUCCACUGGAAAUGCUUUUAAGUUGGAUUCAGGUAUUACUGCUUUUGGGAUAGAUAUGUAGCAUAUUCUUAUCAAUGGCAUUGAAUAAAUUUGAAUUUGUUAAGAUGCAUGCAUGCUGCAUCAGAGUAGACAUGGAUUAUGAAUGCCGAUUUUGGGACUUUGGGGGUUACGGGAUGAUUGAGGGUCAUUUGGGGCAUCAUAGCUAGUCACAGCGGAAAAGAAUGAAUUGCACUGCUUUAAACUUGACAACGAUCAUUUUAUGGGAUUUUCAGGCCAUUUGUGAAAUUUAUGAUUGCAAGAUCGACAGUUUUUCUUCAUUGGUAGAUGGAAAAGCCGUAUGGUGCUUGCUGGAUUAUCACUUCCGUAAGCAACUUUGUUGUGCCUGGUCAUCGAAGGUGCUCUAUAUUUUUUCUUCGGUUUUUAUGAACAUAUAUUUCUUGUUUAAUUUUCUUCAUAGCUGUCUGAAUGUAUGUGACAGGAUCCUAAUAAAUCAAGUCAGGAAGAAUCAAUCAUGUUAGCCAGUGAAUAUUCAGAUGCCGUGCACAAUUUCUUAUUAUCACAGAAAUUGAUGUCGCUAUUGGGAAACUUUCCAGAGGUUUGUGCUAGUUUCUUUGCUUCAUUCUCAUUCAACCGUUUAACUUCCUGUCUAGCUUUUGACUUGCCACAUAUAAUUAUUUGCAUACUUGUAAGAAGAGUUCAAAAUAUUUUUGGAACUGAAGUUGAGAAUUGUAACAUAUAUCUUAUGUUUUGUAAGUUGUAACACACAAUCCUUCUUGAACAUUUAAACAGGUUCUGCAAAUAAGUGACAUUCUUGAGUAUAAUGGCGUCCCUAAUGAUCGUAGUGUGGUAAUCCUGUUGGCAUUCCUUUCAUCUCAACUGAUUGGGAAGAAAAACAUGGUAAUGCCUUAUACAUUUCUGUUUGAUGAUGCUUUAUUGCUAUUCGUUCCCUAUCCCCUGCCCCACUCUUCUAGCUCAGAGAAAUGAUAAUUAGAUGCUGUCAUAGUAUUCAUGCUUAACAUUGAUUAUCUCUUUUGCAGGAUCAGAUAAACUUUCAUAAACUAUUAGGCUGUGAUUGUCAAAGUUCAGAGCGAAUAUGCUCAGUAAGACCUGAACCAACACAGAUACAAGAAGAAACAUAUGUUCAGCAUACUGAAGGUAUCUUCUUCUCUUUUCUAUUUUUUCUUGUAGUUUCUGUUUUUAUAGGAUAGUGUGUCCAGAAUUUGUCCCUUUCCAUAUGUUACGUUAAGGAAAUACUCUAAACAUAACGUCUGUAAAGGUUAGUGGUACGGCAAUCAUACACAUGUCCAGACGUGUAUGACAUGAAUGAGAAAUAUUAAUCUUUGAAUUUUUUUUGAGUGGUGACUUGUUUAGAGCUAUCUAAAGACAGUCUUCCAAUAAGUGAUAGAGCUAGCUAGAAAUUUUAUUCGUUUGUUGAAAUGUAACCUAAUGGUUGUAUCCAUAUACAGGUUCUGUAAGAAACUUUAAGGCUAUCCAGGCUUGGUGGCAAGAUAUGGCUGAAAAGAACCGUAAACUUCCAAAACCAUCAGCUCCUACUUUACAAAACUUCUCUACAAACAAAGAUGAAAUUAACAUUUCAAGAGGUAAUUACUAAUACCAGAGACCUUUUUUUGCAAUGAUACAGUAAUCAUCUUCAUAUUGUGGUUUCUUCUUAUUAGCUCCCAUAUAGAAAGGAACAUUCUUCUUUAUAUUCUAUUAUAUAUAUAGCGUUUUUUCUUUAUUUUUUAGUAGUUUAGAUUAUUACUCCUGUGGUUAAGUUUCAUAACUUAACAACUUAACCUUUUGACUUCACAAUAUCACGGAGGCAUGAUAUUUUUUUUUUGUUUGGUCUUUCAUUCCCCCAGUUUUCUGAGACCAGACUCAAUAAUUAUUCAUCCUUUACCUAUUUUCCUGUCUUUUCUAUUAGGUGAAAAUAGUACUGGAAAUACGCAAUUUUCUAUUAUUGUUUUACAUAUGACCUAAAAUCUAUAAGUUUUGUAUCGGUAUGUCAUAUUCUCUAUUUGACUGAGGAAUUCAUAUCUUAUACUCCCAGUAAAUGCUGCAAAAAGGAUACGGUCAGUGUUACUAAUCCAACAAGCUGUAAGAAAUUGGAUGAUGCGAAGACGUCAGGAUAGAAGUAUGCUGACUCAUGAUGCACACAGACAUCAGGAUAGAAGUAUGCUGACUCAUGAUGCACACAUUCAUGAUCUAGUAAAUGCUGCUAUUGUUGUCCAAAGAUAUACUCGUGGGUGGCUUGCAAGAUCAAGAUGCAUUCAUGGAGGCCCUCUGAUUCAUAAAUCGUUAAGUAUGUUUCAGGAAAAUGGUGCAAAAAGGAUACCGUCAGUAUUACUUAUCCAACAAGCUGCAAGAAAUUGGAUCAUGCGAAGACAUCAGGAUAGAAGUAUGAUAACUCAUGAUGCACGUAUCCACGAUCAAGUAAAUGCAGCUAUUGUUGUUCAAAGAUAUACUCGUGGGUGGCUUGGAAGAUCAAGAUGUAAUCUAGGGGGCCCUCUCAUUCAUAAAUCCUCAAGUAUGUUUCAGGAAAAUGGUGCACUAGAUGUUCGAACAUGGGCAGCAGUUAAAAUCCAACUUGCUUGGAAUUAUUAUGUCUGUCACACUCUUCACAAAAAGCACUUUGCUGCUAUUAAAAUACAAAGUCAUUUUUGUAGUUGGCUAUUGAGAAGGAGGUUUCACAUUCAAAGGCAAGCAACAAUAAAAGUCCAAAGUGCUUUGCGUAUGUUAAAAUGUUGGAAGGCUUAUCAGCAAUACAAAGUUGCAACUAAAUCAGCCACUACCAUUCAAUCUUAUGUACGUGGAUGGGCUGCCCGAAGAGAAGCUAACAUACGUAGGCAUCUCAUCGUUACUAUCCAAGUAAGUUGUUCUCUGUGUCUUUUGAGCAUAUAGGACUGAGGGUGACAAUAUCUCUCCCUGAGUUAUUACCACUGCCAAACAAAUGAGAGAGAGAGAAGCUAAAUUUUAUUUGCUAUGUUCACUAGGGGAAUCUUCUACCUGCAACAUAUUUAGUCCCCUGAGAUAAUCUUCUGUGGAAAUGUGAUUAACUUUUAAAAAAAAAAAAAAAAAAAUUUAAUGGUGUAAAUAUCAUAUCUGAGUUGGGUGCUUAAAUGAAUUCAGAGAUACUGCCAUGGUUGGUUGAGAAGGAGGCAUUUCUUACAUCAAAGAAAAGCUGUAGUGAAGAUCCAAAGCACUAUUCGGUGCCUGCUAUACCGUCAGGCAUUCCAAUGUCUUAGACAUGCUGCAGUGGAAAUUCAACGGAUAGUCAGGGGGGAAAUUUGUCGAAGUAAUCUCUUAGGUAUAUUAGUGCAGUUCUUUUCAAUGGUUCUUACAAAUGUAGUUUAUCAAAUUCUACAUUUGAUAGUUGAGGGGUUUGGUUUGUUUCAAUUCCAUUGUAGUUAUGGUUGUUUAUGGCUUUUGUUUCAGGUUCUUCGUGUCUACACCCUGUCAUCCCCCACGGUUGUCUUUCAAAGACCACGAGUGCCUUUUAUAGUAGUUUCGAACUAAAUAUAGUGUUUUGCUCUGUGUUGAAAUUGCAAAGGUGGUGGAGGAGUGUCCUAUCUUUAAAACUAAGAACAAAGUCUGCAGUACUUAUUCAGUCUCGUAUUCGAGAAUGGUUAGCCAGGCAAAAGGCUUCUAGAGAGAAGCAUUGUAGUGUUGUGAUACAAGUAAGAUACUAUAAAUAUGUUGCACCUUAUAUGUUGAACCUUUACUGUUUCUUCGUGUUCAUAAUUUUUAUUUAUUUUGUUUCAGUCACACUGGAGAGGUUACCAGGCACGAAAAAAAGAGUCAAGGGAACAGCUCAAGGAUAUACGCUUGAGAGUGCAGAAGUCUUCUACUAGUGUGGACGAUAGCAUGCGUAUUAUCAACAGACUUGUUGCUGCACUUUCAGAACUACUAAGAAUGAAAAGUCUCAGCAACAUUCUUCAUACUUGUGCCACUUUGGGUAAGUAUUAAUGAUUGUACAUAGAACUCCAUUUCAUAAUCUUAAUCACGUGUGUGUAUGUAUAUAUAUGUGAUGCAACAACCUCAUAUGUGGUUUUACAACUUUCUGCCUUGUACUAGGAGUUGCAAUAUUUUAUUUCUUUUAUCUUCCUGCAAAUGAAGUAAGCAUUCUUUAUGCAGGUAGUUUAGUGCCUUUACUGAAAAGUCAAACCAUGCUUCAGAAAAUAGUUUUAAACCAUACACGCAUUUGGGAAAGCCCCCCAAAUCCUUAAAUGGUUUAGUGUCAUUGAUGCUCUCAUUGAUAGGUUACAUUCAGUUAACUGAUACAGAAUCAGGGAUGUUAACCAUUGUUCUGUUUCUAUGUACUUACAUUAUGAUUGUACUUAUAGAUAUGGCUACAAGGUAUUCUCAGAAAUGUUGUGAAAGACUCGUGGAUGCUGGAGCUAUCAAGACCUUGCUGAAGCUUAUUCACUCAGGCAGCCGAAGCAUACCUGAUCAGGAGGUUCUAAAGCAUGCACUGUCAACUCUAAGAAACCUUGCUCGCUAUCCACACUUGGUUGAAGUACUAACUGACUGUGAGGGGUCUGUAGAAACUAUUCUUUGGGAGUUGCUAAGGUUUGUAUGCCAUUUAUCCCAAAAUUCAAUGUGAGGGACUUCUUCACAUCUCUGAAUUAACGGCCAAUGUGUUAUAUGCUCAGGAACAAGGAGGAAGGUUACUUCAUUGCAUCUGAACUUUUGAAGAAGAUAUGUUCUAGUCCUAAAGGUGCUGAAGCUGUACGCAAGUCACCUGCCCAUUUAAAGAGACUGCGCAGUCUUGUGGAGGAACUAAGUAGGAAAUCAUGCAAUGAGAAGAGGUCAGAUACAUCAAAGACUCUCUUUUCUCCUUUUCACUUGUUCUUAUUCUCAAAAAUAGAGACGUUACUCAUAUGAUCUGUUUCAUUAUCCGCUAAGGUUAGCAUAAUCACCACUAUCUGAAAUUCUCAAUGCAGGAAUGCUCGACUCGCAAAUGCUCGAGAGAAUACAGAGAGGAGACUGAAGGAGGCUACUGUGAUUCUGAAAAUGGCAACAGAAAACUAGCCUCUGAACUUGCAGCAUUGUCUAACAACCUUGUUUAGCCUAGCUAGGUUUGUUUGUUUGUGUUUUUGCCAUUGAAUUUACAAGUUCAAUGGGAAGGACAAGGAUUCUGAAUGACAUUUACGGAUGGUAAAAAGCUGCAGUGAUGACUAAUGACUAGGCAGUAAUUAGUAACUGGUUAAUGGAGGAAGUAGUGAAAUGAACUGGUGCGGAUUGCCGAUCUUUUUUCAUGCUUGUCUAUUUCACUCUCUAUCACAUGACUUGGUUGAAUUGGUAAAGCGAAAACGACACUGAUCUGUUUCCGGUCCUCAUGUGACUGCUGCCCACAAUUUAUCUUCUUGAUUUCAGAAAAAAAUAUCUAGCACAAUUAUUGAAGAACCAAACCACAUGAAUGGUCAUUUCUCACAUCUCGUGGAUUUUGCACAAGUUGCUAAAAUCUGGAAUCCCGGAUAAGAUAUUUUUGUUUUGGUGAAAUCCACAUUUCCCAAAUUAUAAUCUAUACUUCUACUUUUUAUUUUUGAUAACUUAAAUUUUGUGCUUAGUGACUUAACUUUUGUCUUUUUAUGCAAAUGAUAACUAAAAAUAAAAAAUAAGAGUGUGGAUUACAAUUUAAGAAGUGUGGAUUUCACAUCCCUUAAAAAUAUUAAGAGAGAAAAAACCCAAAAUGGUAUCUGAACUAGUACCGAGAAUGUUGUUGCAAACUAUAGCUAAAUCCGAGACUUAAAAUAAUAUUGACAGAUAUUUUAGUUGCUUCAUAGACAUUCAAAAUUUCUUCGUUGUUUCAGAGAUGUUUAAAAUUUAGAUGUUCAAUUAUAGAAUGGAAGAUUGUCGAAGAAGAGUAAAAAAAUGGAAGAAGUAUCAGAAUAUCAGAUAAUGCAGUCCCUAAUGAAUAAUAGGAGUUUUGAGAAAAAUAGCUUGGAACAUUUGUGCAUAAAGGAGUCCAACAAUUAAAUCUUAGCAUCUAAUUAAUCAUGAUAGGAAAUAGCUAGUUUGAAUCUUUGAGUUAUGAAAAUCAAGCAGCUCUUGCAAGAACUUCAAGCCUUUUUGGCAUGUCAGCUGGUUCAAUGAAGAAACUCCUCCUCAACAACCUUGGCACUGUGAUUGUCAAGAUUCCAUCUUCAUAUCCAGCUGAGAUUCUCUCGAUGUCGACUUGACUUGGAAGCCGAAACUUUCUCAUGAAGGUCCUCCUAGCCUCUGUGGAAGACUCAUCACCAUCACCAUCAUCAAGUCUGUGUGUUCUGAUUAUCAGGUAUAUUGAGUCCUCCACUUCCACCUUUAUCUCCUCCUUCCUCACACCUAUACACAAAGGUUCAUCCCAAGAGUAACAUAAGAACUAACACAUAAAAGAAAGAUAGAUUGAUCACAAGAAAUAAAAGAUGUUAAAUUCUUACCAGGGAGAUCAGCUGAGAAAAUGUGAGUUUCUGGGGUUUCAGUCCAGUGCACAUAGUUUUCUGGGGCUAAGUGAUAUGGAUAAACAAGAUGAGAGGGGAAGACAUACUGGUAAAGCUGAAAGUUUUGGUUUGGUAGCUCCAUGGCUUAUAAUAGAAGAGGAAGUAAAUUUGCAGGGUACAAGCUAAGGGCUGCAGUCCAAUAGUGGGGGAUAAUGAGGUACCUUAAUGGAAGGUUGGUUUGGCUUUUAUAGCUCAGAGUGGGACAAGUAGGGUUUAAGAAACUGAUUUGGGAAUUCAGACUUUGACAGCAAUACCCUUCUAUCUUGGGGGUUGAAUCACAGUUUCUAAAUUUUGUGGUUCUGAAAUGGCAUCUCUGCCAUGGGUUGGCACAAUUAGUAGGUGCAUGGUAGGCCUCAAGUUUCUGAGGAUGACUGAUGUGAAGAACUUUUAAGGAUGAAUUGCCAGAGCAACUAUAUCUAUAUAUGGUGUACCUAAUCAAGGGAUCAUGUAUUGAAUAAGCAGAUCUGGCUUAGAAUGUUGACCCCUUAUAUAGGUUGAAGCUAAUAAUUGCUCCUGGAGAUCAUAAGAAUGCUUUUCAUACAAGUAAAACCAGUACAUUAGUACAUCACUAUCUCUACAGCAAAUUUUGAUACAAGUAGGCAGAGAACAACUAAUCAAAAACCAUUAUGACAUGAAGAACAAAUAUAUAGAAUAAGAAUAAAUCACAAGUCUAGCAGAAUCUUAGUUUACAAUUGAAUUGACAAAACAAAAAAUGCUAAAUAGAUAAGCUUCAUAAUGGAGAUAGGCAUUAUUUACCCCAUAUUCCUCAGUAGCAGAUAUUGCCAAUUUGCCAUCACCAGAAAGUCAUAGGAGUACUAAGCACAAUGAUCAGAAAAAGGUCGAACUUGAGUCUUCAAAUUUCGUGGCAGCACCCAACUCAUGUAUUUACCCCGAGCACAAAACCAUUGCUGUAACAAGGUAGAUUGCUAGAAGGCCCCUGAUGUUUCACUGGCGAGCGGAAAGGGUUUGGUGUCACAGGAUGUGUGAUAUGGAGUCCAGCACUUCGUAGAACCUGUUUAGCGUAAUUACAAGAUAUUUCACAUUGGUCUGUGAAGAAGGCUGGUACGCCCAUGGACUUGAUUAAGUUAAGAGCUCCACCCCAACUUGAAUAGUCCUCCAAUCCACAGUUCAGUGCAACGAUAGCAUGGGGUGAAGGGAGGUAGGUGGCUUCCUCCUGAUAAACACCCCUAAUGAGAUUCACUCUCACCCUGCUGCCUAUUCCUGAAGUUGUCCCUGACAUAUUUGUUGGAACUUCAGGACCAACCAUUACAAUUUGUAUAUUACCCAAUCCAUUGAGCAUAUGACCAACUUCGGCAAAUGCUGGCAUCCAAUCCAACUCUCCCUCUGGCCCUAUGUAGUGCACAAUCACCUCUUUUCCUUUCAGUAGCCAGUUCUUUGAACUGAUGUUGAGCGUCGUCAAUAUGUAAUAUACUGUCAAUGGGUGGGAGAGGAUGUCAGCAACCGGGCUUGACAAUGGCAGUGACCGAAGAUUAUAGUACUCAGACCAACCGGAGAGGAGGAUCGGACUUGACAUAUGAUGAUGAAAAGAUGAAUCACGUGGAAACUCUUCAUCAUCAAGACCUCCCCAAGAAUCCCAGAGUCCACCUUUAACAGGAAGAAGACCAAAAGGGCAGUGAGAAUAGCAACUGCACUUUCUCCUCCACAUGCCCUUUUGAUGGAUGCCCAAUGAUUCAAGCCAUUUACAAGGAUGGUCUGCAGCAGAUGGAAACAUGAAGAUAUUCAUUGCCAGCUCUUCUUCCCUUUCCAUCAUUGCCUUGUAAAGACCACACAUGGUCUUAUGUGUUUCCUUCAAAUGCUGCUUUUGGCAGACAGAACUGCAGUAGAUCACAGCACGACACCGUCCACAACAAAGAGUCUGAUCACUAUGGAUUUCUUUCUCGCAUGCUGCACACUGCCUUAUGCUGCCAUUUGAAUACACUCUUAAAUCAAGAAAAGUCUCCUCCUUUAAUGGUUCUGCAUACUUUGUUGGGGUUGAGGACCUUGAGGUAGCCGUCGAACUAGCCUUUUCCUCAUAUGCCUGGCCAGGUGGGUGUGAGAUUGUAACCGCAACAAGAUCAAAACCAUUGGACAUUUCUGGCGGCCACUGGACAUCAACUGUCUCGAUAAAUGGUUCAUAGUACAUCAACCUUGACCACUUUGGACCUCCUUCUUUGUCUGCCUGCAGCAACGGGUGCACGAGAGCUAUGGCCUGCAUGAAUGCAUACACAAACUUAAGCUCUUCAAGAGUUGCAUUCCUGAACUUAAGAGUUCCUGACGAAGUGCAGCGAACAACAUCAACAACAGGGAAGCGAUCAUUCCCCGAAACUUCCAGUGAUAGAGUCUUGAUCAUUUUCCGAUUUGAAGGAAACAUCACUGAGUCACGUUCAAACGUGACCCUCAACAGCUCCACAUUUGGAACCUCUAUUGUUUCCCUUGAGCCUGUCAUCCUCUUAGCAUCAUUCUGCGACCGAAACAUGUGAAAUCCAAUAUCCCCUCCAUCCCCUCCAAUAAACUGAACACAUGGGAAAAGCUGUUUCUUUCCAGACCAAUCCGUAUCCUUCCCAACCCGGACACCAAACAGAUGCGCCGGACACAAUCUUUUCCACGGAUCAGUCCUAUAUAGAGCUGCUGCAGCUCUAAACAUGGACUUAAUAAUAUUUGGAGCAAUGCCUUCCACAUUCAUAAGGCAUGUCCCGGAUCCGGGACCAAGCCCUGGACCGGUCCCGAAUUGCUCCUGGAACCUAUCAAACAAGUUCUUCAAAUGCAAAUCCAUUUACACCCCAAUACAAGAUCCAACUCAAUUCCUUGAUAAACACCAGAAACCCACUACAGAAUCCGAAUCCAAGAACUCUACUUCACCAUGAAUUUCUCAAAAUGUAAGAAUCUACACCCCACAAAUUAUAUUCAUCCACUCUCAAUUGCUUCCCAACUCAAAAACACAGAAAGCUCUAAGCUUUACUAGACAGACAGUUCAAUCAUAACAACAAAGCAACAGUCUUUUUCAAACCCAGUAGAAAAAGAAGCACCAGUUCAUAUCACUUCAAGACCAAACUAGAUCAAAUACACGAUGCACUUAAUGAACAUAAAGGUCAGUACUCCAUACCAGUUUUGGAAGCUUGACUACAGAGACCAGAGUGAGAUCCCCAACGCUGGUUUUGCUGCAACUCAAAACCAAGCUCUUAAGUCGCACGCCGUAAGAAAUUUGGGCUUUUGUGAUUUUUUUAAGGUGGACCCACAACCUGCCUAGGCCCAACCCAAUAAUUAACCUCCUAGCCAGCCCAAAUGUCCUCCUAUGCCGCUGAAAGUCAACGGCUCAACGCGAAAUCAUAAAUUGGGCCCUUACGAGUUCUUAAAAGGUGGGACCCACUACUUUCAUGGGCCCAACCCAACACGCAAUCGCCUAGCCAGCCCAAAUGUCCGCCUAGCCCGCUGAAAGUCAACAGCUCAACACGAAGAAUAUGUUUCGGUAUUUUCAUGUGGGUGUUUGGUAUAUAUAGAAAAUUAAAUGAUGGAAUCAAGUAUAUUAAUUCCUAUUGUAAUGUUUGGUAAGUCGGUAUAAUGAAAUACAAAAUUUUGUUUUUCAAUAAUGCCCCUUUAUAAUUUCUAAAUACGUACAACAUUAAAAUUUAUUAGAGAAUAAUUUAUGUACUUGUGGUUUUGACAGUAGGAAUGAAAUUGGAAUACCACCCUUGAUAAAAUAAUUGAAUUCAGGUUUUAUGAGCGAGUCAAUUUCCAGUUAGAUCUCUUUUUUUUGUUUCAUUUCCUAUCUCUAUGUACAACCAAUCAACCCAUUGGAAUGGAAAACCAAAUUAAUUUUUUCCCAUACCAUGGUUUCCUGCCAUCCAAACAGGGCUUUGAGUUUGUAAAAGGUGGGACCCACAACCUUCCGGGGCCCAACCCAACAAGAAACCCCCUAGACAGCCCAAAUGUCCGCCUGGCCCGCUCAAGGCCCAAAACCAGUCCAAAUUUGACACGAAACCCGAUUACGUGCCUUGUUUCCAAAAUCCCUAAUCUUUAAAAUCUCUCUGUUCUCACUCGCCACAUUCUUCAUCUUCUCUCUCUCCUUAUUAGGGUUUUCUUUCUCUCUCUCUCGAACCCUAGAUUCGCCGUCGUCGUCAUCAUGAUGCAACCAGGCUCCGGCGUGGCUCCGUCGGCAAUGGUCCAGCAGUACGGCCAGCAGCAGCAGCAGCCGCCCCCCGCCGCUGCCCAGCCCUACAUGAUGAUGCCGCCGCCGCUCCCCACCGUGCAGCCUCCUCCGGCGAUGUGGGCCCCUCAGUCGCACGUGGCCCCACCUCCACCUCAGGCCCAGCCCGCCAGCGCCGACGAGGUCCGCACUCUCUGGAUCGGCGACUUGCAGUACUGGAUGGAAGAGACCUAUCUUUUCAAUAUCUUCGCCAGCACCGGCGAGGUUUGAUUCUUCUUCUUCUUCUUUUGCGUCAAUUUCGGUCAAAGAUUCAAUUUUUAUGUGCUUGUUUAGAUCUGUGGUGGUUUUGCUUUGUAAUGUUGAACCUAAAGCUGUAAUUUUUAUGGUUCGAGGUUUAGGAAUUGGUGUUUGUAUUUGCUAUAUGAGCUGGGUUUGUUGAUUUGUUGAUGUUUCGGAGUGUCGUGGGUUCGAUUCUGUGGUUGGGAUGACAAUGAAUUGGUGAUGAGUUGUGUCGAAACGUUUGAAGAUAUGCAGUAGAGUGUAAUGUAUUAUACUUCAGCAAGUUUGUAAUCCGAAUUGUGUUUGAAUUGCCGUUCUUUUUUCUUGAUUUUUCUCGUUGUGUGUAUUGACUAGAAUGUUUAUCAAGUGUCAUUUGUGUUGGUUUGAUCUAUGGAAGUAUUGUGUUUGGUAUUUAUAUUUAUAAAUGGUUAGUUAGUUAAGUGUUUGUGUUAUGUGCUUUUUCAGGUUGUUAAUGUGAAAGUUAUCCGCAAUAAGCAAACUAACCAAUCCGAGGGCUACGGGUUUAUUGAGUUUGUUAAUAGAGCUGCGGCAGAAAGAGUGCUUCAGACUUACAAUGGUACCCCUAUGCCAAAUUGUGGCCAGCCUUUCAGAUUGAACUGGGCAUCUGCAGGGGAGAAGCGUUCUGAUGAUACGCCUGAUUAUACAAUAUUUGUUGGGGACUUGGCUGUGGAUGUGACAGAUUAUAUGCUACAAGAGAUAUUUAAGACCCGUUAUCCAUCUUGCAAGGGAGCUAAGGUUGUUAUUGACAGACUUACUGGCCGCACCAAGGGAUAUGGGUUUGUUAAGUUUGGAGAUGAGAGUGAACAGUUGCGUGCAAUGACUGAGAUGAAUGGAGUUGUUUGCUCUUCAAGAGCUAUGCGAAUUGGGCCAGCUGCAAACAAAAAUGCUGGGGGCAAUCAGCAAUAUUCAAAAGGUAUGUAUGAUAUAGUUGUGGUGUUUUUAAAUUCAUUGCCGUGGUUGUCUGCAAAGUGCCAACUUCUUGUUUGUUGCUUCUUUCUCUUCCCUGCUUUCUUUCGUCUUUUGUUUCUAACUUUUCCCCCAUUAUGCACUUAUAAUUCGGUCAUGUCAUGGUUGCAUGUUCCUUUCUUGUAUGAUAUCCAGGGUCCCAAACAUUACUUUUUAGUUAUCCAAGGCUUCUUCCUUUCAGCUAGAGAUGAGAAGUAAUUUUCAAGACAUGUAUUUCCUUUAAUUUCUCUAGAAAAUCUGGCAACGUAAAUGAUAAUAAAAACUUGAGAACUUAUAGAACUCCUGUUGUCUCAAAGCAGGGGGUCAAGAGGCUAUGCCAUCUAAGGGCGUGCCACUGAUUACAGCUGAAAGUGUUACCCCUUAAGUGCGUGGCCUCACUUAGGUCAGUUUCACAUUUAAUGUAUUGGCCUUUAUUCUCAUGUGGCAUAUGCUAUGCUACAUUAUGGAUUUUUUAGUUGGUUGAACUUUCUUGUGAAGUUACGCUGUGUCCUGUUCUUGUUCCACCUUAGAUUAAAUAAAAUUGCCUGUUGUCAAGGUGACUGAGUUUACUUUUUUUUUCUUUUUUUUUCCUUACGCACAGAUCCAGGCUGUCUUUAUUAUACCCCCUGUUGUUAUGUUAUGAGUGCAUGGUUGAAGCAUCUUGCCUGGAAUUGUAUUUGUAGGCUGGUUUUCAUGUCUUGAUAUUUUUACUUUGUACUGGUAUUGCACUAGGUUUUACCCAGUUAUCUAAACUGGGUUAGACUGGAUUCCUAGAACCAAUUUGUAUGCUUUAUCUUGUUGUUCAUUAAGCCCACACUGUAUCUUCUUGUGAAGUAAUUUUAUCUGGAACUGAAGCCUUGUCCUUCAUGAUAUUUUGUUGCCACAUAUCCGCCGCAUACAUGCAUGUUUCAUAUCCAGACUCUAAAAUACUUUUGCUCCUCAAGUACUCCUAAGCAGUACAGUGUGGAUUAGUUUGAAGCAUUAUCAACUUGUUCGAAUGUGUGCCAUACUUGUUUGACUAUUGCAUAAGAUAUUUUGAGAGAACUGCUGGUCGCUUCAGAGGAUAUAUAACUUGUUUGUUUUAUUAAUAUGGUAGCAUCCAAGGGUAUCAGUUUGUUAUUUGAAAUUUACUUUUUUCAACAUGCAGCUUCAUAUCAGGGUUCUCCAGGUGCAAAGAAUGAGACCGAUCCCAAUAACACAACUGUGGGUACUUAAUUACUUUUUUCAGAAACUUCUCUUUCCGCAACAUUUUGUGACUCGAUGAUUUUUCUGCAGAUAUUUGUUGGGAAUCUGGAUGCUAAUGUUACCGAUGACCAUUUGAGGACAGUUUUUAGCCAGUAUGGUGAGCUAGUACAUGUUAAGAUACCAGCAGGAAAGCGAUGUGGGUUUGUUCAAUUUGCAGACAGGUAGGCUGAUUGGUUUGUCAACUCUAUUUUUUUUCCUGGUCUCGUGAUCUUGCCGGUGAUUUGUCUCUUUCAUAUGGUUUGGAUUUGAAUAUCAGACAAUCUGACUAUCCUGUUCUGUUUUCUUUUUAAUACAUUAGGAGUCGUGCUGAAGAGGCUUUGCAAGGAUUAAACAAUUCCCCAAUUGGUGGACAAAAUAUCCGACUUUCUUGGGGUCGCAGUCCUUCGAACAAGCAGCAGGUGCUUUUGCUUUAUCAUAGUAACUUAAUGGAAGUCGCAGACAUUACUGACCCUAACUGAUAUGUAUCUGAUUUUAUUUUUUUUUCCAGGCUCAGGCAGAUCCAAACCAAUGGAAUGCUGGCUAUUAUGGAUAUGCACCAACACCUGAGGGAUAUGGAUAUCCCCAAGUGUCCCAAGACCCUAACAUGUACUAUGGAGGCUACCCUGCUGGAUACGGGAAUUACCAGCAGCCGCAGCAGCAGCAACAGCAGCAGCAGCAGCAAGUGGGUUAUAGCUGAGUGUUGUGUUGAGCUUUUUCUGCCUUCAACUCUAGAGACUUGAAAUAAUAUUAAGAUAAUGGUUGAGAGGGAUAUUAUUCUCUGUUUUCUGAGAAGUACUUUAUCGGAAGUAAUCUUGUAUCACUAAGUUUUUAACAAUUCAAGGAAGCCUUCUCUGAUAUUUCUGCUUGGUAGUGUGGCUUGUUGGAAAAUGUGGUAUGCUUAGCAAUGUUUGAAUUCAAAUGUUUCAUUUAUAUCAAAGUCCUUCAGCUUUUUAUUUGUAGGAAGAUGCCCAUAUCUUCAUAACAACCCUAACUCAACUGUUGAGUGAAAUCAUGUAAAUCUAACGAUAAGUUGUUUGUUUUCAAGAGAACAAAAGCGUUAACAUGAAGAAAUCUCAAUUAUAGAGAAGCGUCCAAAGGCUCACAUUCGCUUUGGCAACACCAGCCAGUAAGACUGGUAUAUUAUCCUACUCACUUGGCCUUCCUCCUCUUAUUUAACUUCAACUUUUUCAACUUCCCCAUAGACAGAGAGCUCUUCAGAUCCAACUAUAUCCAAGGUGCUACGUUUUAAACCUCUAAAUGAGUCAUAAUGAGGUCUUCAAGUACAGGGCAGCGAGUACAAAGAAGAAAGACUUUCAAUUUCCAUGGGUUCAUCUUGCUUCAAUAUGAAGGACCUUGAGACUUGGGAGAUACUUGGAUCAUGUCAUCUCUAUGGUGUCAUAUCGACUUUUUUUUAUGUAGUUUUGACUUUUGAGGUUGUUGUUUCAAUUUCUUAGAUGUAGUUUGUAUUUAGUUUUCUAAUUAUGUUGCUUGUAUGGUCGGGGACGCUGCUGGAGUCCGUUGGGGUGGAGGCGCGCCCUCGCCGGCGUCGUACGGUGGGGAACGGAGGGACAUCCGCACUUUAAGGCCGGUGCGGACGUGCGCCUCUGAUCCGGCUAUAUAUAUAUAUAUACAUGAAUUCUCAGGUGCGGACGUCCGCACCAAAGUUUUGGUGUGGAUUUCCAUUUUUGCACCACUUUUCGAUCGAAUUUUCUCAUCUCCACCGUCUAGUAUCUAGAUAAUAUUGUGUAGAUCAUCUCUGCAAAAUUUCAGCUAAUUUGAUAAUCGUUAAGGCCCUCAAACUCGAAAAACAAAUGGACAGACUGAAUUUUGCCCGGUUGUGUUCAUACCAGAAAAACUCGAGUUUGAGGGCCUUAACGAUCACCAAAUUGGCUGAAAUUUUGCAGAGAUGAUCUACACAAUAUUAUCUAGAUACUAAACGGUGGAGAUGAGGAAAUUCGAUUGGAAAGUGGUGCAAAAAUGGAAAUCCGCACCGAAACCUUCGGUGCAGACGUCCGCAGCCAAGAAGGGCUGUGUAUAUAUAUAUACAUACAGAUUUUCUUAGGUGCGGAUAUCCGUAUUUAUUCUUACGGUGCGGAUUUCCACUUUACACUCACUUUUCAAUCGAAUUUUCACAUCUCCACCGUUUAGUCUUUAGAUACUAAUAUGUAGAUCAUCUCUGUAAAAUUUCAGCUAAUUUGGUUAUCAUUAAGACACUCAAAACUGCGUGUUAUAAACAUGAACGGUUCAAAUUCGACAUAAUUAUGUUUAUCAAGUGGUUGAAAAAAGAAAACACAAUUUAUAAUAAAUAGUCUUUUCUUAUUCCCGCGUCUCCCUGAGUUUCGGUGAUUCUCAAUUCUUCUUCUUCCCGGAUAAACAGAAUCUCACUCCCACAUUUUUAUUCCCCAAACAAAAACUCAAAAGAUAAUUCAAGGAAUUGGCUUCCUCAGUUCAUCGCCGCCCACUUGUAAGGAAUUUCAGUUUCAGUUUCAGUUUCGCUAAUCACUGUGUUUAAUCAUGGUAGUCGUAGGGUUUGAUCUGAGGAAACCAAAAGAUUCACCCUUUUGUUUUAUUUAUAUUAAUAAGAUGUGGGUAGGGUAAUUUAAGAUUGAAUCUUUCUGGGCUCCCUCUCUGUUGCCUCUUUGGCAUUUGCCUCCAAUGUGUUGAUUAUUUCUGUCGUAAUCUGUUUUAUUUGAGCUAAGAGAUUGUUACUACCCUCAAUAUGAAUUAUGCAAAGGGGGCAUGAGAGGGGGUAUCAGUGUAUCAUCCAUAAUUAUGGUUUCAUAUGGUUAGGAUUGUUGGACUUGCUCAUUUUGUGAGGCAAUUUGCUUUUAACAUGACUCAGUAGCUUUGUGGGAAAUGUGAUAAGGUUGUAUGAAAGUGGCUCUGGUAUGAGUUAUCGGUGUUUUAAUGUUUGGGAGGAAUGCAAAAGCUCUUUAUAAUUUUGGAACAUUAGUUGAUGGACCUAUAAUGGUCAGUUGUUGAGAUAGCUUCUCCCAGGAAGGUUUGAAUCUAAUGAAAUUCCAGGAGUGGGAGCUGGGAAAUAACUUGACUCAUAAAUUCCUAAUAUUUGGGUGGGAUUUGGGAGCAGUUAAAUUUUCGAUUGUACCCUAUAGGGAAGUUUCUGCUUCUAAUGUUUGUAUAGAUUGGGCAUAUUCUUAGUUUGUACUAGUUUACAGACCUGCUUACUUUUCUUUUCCCUUCUAAGAUCCUGGCGCAUAUUCAUGGCUAUCUUUCUUGUUGAUUACAAGUGAUAAUUCUAGCUCUUUUAAAUCUGGAUAUAUUCCAGUUGUUAUUAGGCUACCUUAUAAGUAGGAACCUUUUCCCUCUCUUCCUCUACAUUUCAUCCUCCGUUAAUGCAAAUAGUGACAUAAGUGUCAAGGGGUCUGAGUCUACUGCUCAAUCCUUCAUGGGUGAGAAGGACUGAGCAGUAUUGAGGUCUUUCUUCUGAUUAUCUAUUUAGUUUUUUUUUUAUUAUUUUGCCAUUAUCAUAUAUAAACAUGCAUUUGUACAGAAAUCAGUGAAGUUCUGUUGAUCCAUACAGAUCUAGAGGUGUCCUUAUGCAAGUUGGUCUGUGUUUGAACUUUUGGUUUUGUUUAUACCUAAAUCCUCGUAAUGUAUUUCUUGUUUGAUUUAGACCACUCCAAUGUGCAUGCCUGCCCUAAGAAGAGGGGAACUGAUUCAUCAAGUUAUGUUCACUGCUAUGUUCCCAAUUAUAAGGGUGAAAAUAGUUAAAGUAGAUACACUGUGGGAGCUCUGUUUUACUUGUCAACCUGUGGUCUCUUUUUCAACAAGCGUAUCUUAGUAAGAGAGGAACUGAUUCAUCAUUUUAUGUUCACUGCUAUGUUCAUAACUAAGGGUGAAAGUAGUUAAAAUUAGAUACACUGUGGGAGCUCCGUUUUACUUGCCAACGUGUGGUCUCUUUUUCAACAAGAUAAAACAAUGCCUGAUGGGCAUAUGUACUUUUAGAAAUCUUAUUGCAACUGUCCAUGAUUAGGCAUUUAUGUGGAAAUACCAGACUAUUCAGACUCAGAUAUCAUAGAGUGCAGCUCUUUAAAGCAGUGCAUUGACCAAUUAGCUUCAUUGUAGUCGUAUAACGUUUCUUUUCAGUCACUAUUUAUUCAUGCAGUAACCAAGACUACAACAUGAUUAAAAUCAUUUUCUUCCUUGCAGUGGAAAAUUUUGAGCACCAGGGUAUCAGGAGUAUGAAUCCAAAUCAAGGUGCAAGCUCGUUAUCUUCACCAGAUCUCCCUAUGAAGCGGAAACGUGGACGUCCACGUAAGGAUGAGAAUUUAGUUCAUGGAGAGAGCAUGCCUGCAAUACCAGGACCUGAUAGUCUGAAGAAAAACAAGCAGAGUGCGGGUACUAACGAUGAUGCUGAAGGUGAAAUGGUGGGUCGGGUGGUUUCUGGUGUUAUUGAAGGUUCAUUUGAUGCCGGCUAUCUUCUUAAUGUUAAGGUAGAAGACACCGACACUCAGCUGAGGGGUGUUGUAUUUCUACCGGGAAAGUUCACUCCAGUUACUGCAGCAAAUGAUGUUGCUCCAAAUGUUAAGAUGUGCAGAAGAAAAGAAGUUCCAAUACCAGCUGUGACCAUGCAAUCUCAUCUUUAUGGUUCUGCCCAGCCAUCAGAGCAAAGUAACAAGCAACCUGUUGAGGUGAAAAAGCAAAUACCUGCAGUUCCAGACCAAAUUCCACCCUGUAUUCCUCAGUGUGGCAUCACGGAGUCUCUUAGAAGUCAAUCUUUCUCUGGCAUCCCGGAGACUCUUAGAAGCCAAUGCAUCCAGAAGUCUUUUAGAAGUCAAUCUUUCUCUGGCAUCCCAGAGUCAUCCUCUUUUGUGACUCCUCCGGUUGAUAAUUUGCCAAAGAAUGAUGCCCCUACCUUGGGAGGUAAAGCCAUACCACAGCAACCUUUGGCGUCUGUACUUGAUGACCAAUCCACCCAUGUAACGACAAAGUCCGAGAAUGAUGAAGUUGUUGAACAGGAAAAAGUGUUGGUGGAAUUUGAACCGGCCACAACAAUAACAGAGCCAACUGGUGUAGAGGACAAUAAAGAAUCAAAAACAGAAAAAUUAUUGGAGGAAUCAUCUGAACCAAUUGGUGUUGUACCAAGCAUAGAAACAGUAAGUAAGGAUCCUCCAAUUCAACCUCAGGUUGUGGGUUCUGAAACCAGUGCAUUGGUUCAGGAUGAUGUAAAGAGCCUGGAUUUUGAACUCAACCAUACUCCUUUAUUUGCUGAAGCUGCUCCUGCAAUGGCUACCGUACCAAGUGUUGAAACUGUAUGCAAGGCUCCUCAUAUUCAACCUCAGACUGUGGAUACUGAAAAGAGUCAAUUGGUUGACGAUGAGGUAAAGAGUGUGAACGUUGAAAUAAAUCAAACUCCUGUAUUUGCUGAAUCGGCACCAGGCUCUGUCAUACUGGGAGCUGAGACUGUAUGUAAGGAUCCUCAAAUUCAACCUGAGGAUGUGGGUUCUGAAAAGAGUACAUUGGUUCAGGAUGUGGUAAAGAGCCUAGAUCUUGAAAUCAACCAAACUCCCCUAGUUGCAGAACCUGCAAUUGCUGCCAGUAAACCAGUUGAGAAUCUGAUGGAAGAAGAGGCUACACCGAAGCCGAGUCAGGUGUUAGGGGGAGAGACUGUUGCAUCUGUAGGAUCCAUUCCUUCAGCCAUGGGUGAACCUCCUUCUGGUGCUAUUGACAGUAUGGAAUGUGACAUUGCAGAUGCCAUUCCACCUGCACAAUCUUAGCACUACCAUAGCACUAAGCUGGUUAGGCCGGGUUUUUUCAGUUGGGUUACAAUUUAUGCUUCUCGGAUGAUGUUCAUGUUUUUUUUUGUUGUCUGAUGGUUAUGACUCCAGUUUCUUUUGGAGUGUUAUCUUGCAGACAAUUAUGAAGUUUGUUGUUUUUUUGCCCCGCUUCAUAUGAACUCUCAUGUUCUUUACAUCUAUUUUCUUUUCAAUAAGUAGCUCUGUUAAUUAAUGUUACUCAUAGAAUCAGCCUAGGUAUCUACAAGUUUCAUAUUGCUUCUCAAGUUCUCAUACAGAGAAGGGACUGGUGGGUAGCACCAAAGUAGUAUAUGGCUAUAUGCCAUUGCCAUACCUAUUUAGGAACUACUAGUUUUAAAAAAUUGUGGACGGGUGCGGGUACUGUUCAUCAGAGAACAGAAGAAGAAGAAGAAGAGAGAUCGCUCGAGAAAUAUCAGGUCUAACACCCAGGCCUAAUUCUUCCAAAGGUGUGCGGAGUAAGAGAAAGGGCAAAACCGAUGAAGGAAGCGACGAAAGAGAGGGAAGGAGAGCUUGAGAUCUGGAAAGUGAUGGAAGUGGCUGAAUCUCUUGAUAGAGAUGAUUCGGUGGAGUUUCGAGAGAGAUCGAGAGAGAGCGAGAAAAAGAAUUAGAAAACGGCGAGAUGCAGGCCCAAGCCCGACACUGUUCUAAAAAACAGUAAGGCGUCGUCAGACGGCAUAAUAAUAUAGUAAAUGUAAGUUGCGGCUGCCUGUCGUAAUAUCCAAAGUGAAAUACAACAAACUUCUUAAUCGUCGGCAACAUAGCUCCCCAAAACAAACCGGAGUGAUAAUAACCAUUCAAACAACUGAAAAUGUUUGACAUCAUUCUGAAAAAUUUGGAAAAUGUUUUAACAUUGGGCCAAGAACACAACGCGGGCACACCACAAGACCCACGAGCCCAAAAGCCCAAAACAAAAGGUCGGUCCGUGUCAGACACGAGCCAGCUAUACCAAUUGUAUGGCCACAAAAGUCUACGUAUUCCAUUUUCCAUCUUCAAUUUCCAUUACAAAAUCACACUCGUCUCCGAUUCCCAUCACCACACAGCACAGAGAGCACCAGCCAUGUCUUCUCUCUUAGCCAACAGCAUCUCCCUGUUCUCUCCCCAACCCACUCCCGACUCCCCCAAGUUCCCCAAACCCUUCUUCCUCCACCCCCACAACUUCCUCAACCUCCCAACCCACAAACCCUCCUUCUCCUCCUCGCAAAUCCUCAAAGUCCGCGCCGACGUCGAACCCACCCCUUCCCCCGAGUCCGCAGAGAAAUUUACUAUUGAGGAAUUCCUUCGCAACCGCGACUACGACACUAAAUUCGGCUUCAAUAUAGAAAUCGACUCCACCUCGAUCCCUAAGGGGCUCUCUAAAGAAACAGUACGCCUGAUUUCCCAAAUCAAACAGGAGCCCGCCUGGAUGCUCGAGUUCCGCCUGCAAGCGUACGAGAAGUUUAUCGCCAUGAAGGAGCCGAAUUGGUCCGAUAACCGCUAUCCGAAGGUGGAUUUCCAGGACAUGUGUUAUUACUCCGCGCCGACGCAGAAGAAGACGUUAGGGAGCUUGGAUGAGGCCGACCCGGAGCUGCUGAAGUACUUCGAGAGGCUGGGGGUGCCGUUAAACGAGCAGAACAGGCUGGCGAAUGUGGCUGUGGACGCUGUGCUGGAUAGUGUUUCGAUUGCGACCACGCAUAGGAAGACUCUAGAGGAGGCUGGGGUGAUUUUUUGUUCUAUUUCGGAGGCGAUUAGGGAGUAUCCGGAUUUGGUUAGGGAGUAUUUGGGGAAGGUGGUGCCGGCCGGGGAUAAUUACUAUGCUGCUUUGAAUGCUGCUGUUUUCAGCGAUGGUUCGUUUUGUUAUGUACCCAAGGAUACUAAAUGUCCUAUGCAGAUUUCGACUUAUUUCAGGAUUAAUGCGCUGGAGACAGGGCAGUUCGAGAGGACUUUGAUUGUGGCGGAGGAUAGGAGCUUUGUGGAGUAUUUGGAGGGGUGUACGGCUCCUUCUUAUGACCGGAACCAGCUUCAUGCCGCGGUGGUGGAGCUGUAUUGUGCUGAAGGGGCGGAGAUUAAGUACUCCACGGUGCAGAAUUGGUAUGCUGGGGAUGAGGAAGGGAAGGGAGGGAUUUAUAAUUUCGUUACUAAAAGAGGGAGGUGCGCAGGGGCGAGGUCGAAGAUAUCUUGGACUCAGGUGGAGACCGGGUCUGCGAUUACUUGGAAGUAUCCGAGUGUUGUUCUGGAGGGUGAUGAUUCUGUGGGGGAGUUUUACUCGGUGGCUUUGACUAAUAACUAUCAGCAGGCAGACACUGGUACAAAGAUGAUACAUAAGGGGAAGAAUACAAGGAGUAGAAUCAUUUCAAAGGGGAUAUCAGCUGGGAAUUCAAGGAACUGUUAUCGGGGGCUUGUGCAGGUUUUUUCACAAGCAGAGAAUGCUCGAAACUCCUCACAGUGUGAUUCCAUGCUUAUCGGAGAUAAAGCUGCUGCCAACACCUAUCCAUACAUUGAGGUAAUUGUCUUUGAACUUGUCUCUUUUGGUUAUGGUGUUAUGAUGGUGAUGUUCUGUAGUGGUAGUGGUAUACAACUUUGCCUAUUGUGUGAUGAUUCUUCAUUGGAUGAUAUUAUUGCAUUACUCUAUGCUACUCUCCCAUGAUAUUGAAGCAUUUCUUCCAACAAAAAAUUUUGCUGUCCAAAAUCAUGAUUUUCACCUGAAAUUGUGUGUUAUAGCACACGAUUUUUUGGCCAAAAUCUCAUGUCCUCAAUUUCUCGCUAAAAUCUUCCCAUUGGUUUUUAAGCAAAAUUAGACUCGACAGACCUCAGAAGUCUCAACCCGAUUUUGUUUUACGAUUUUGAAAGUUGGAAAACCGUGAAAGUCAUAAAAAAGAAUCAAGUUGAGAAUUUUGAGUUCUGUCACUUGGAAGAGCUCCUAAAAAUCAUCAUAAUUGGGUUUAGCAUGUCCAUACCCUUGCCAAAUGUAUUUGGCUUGGAUAAUUUUGUUGAUUUGUUCUUAAAGAUGGAAGGCCUGAUGUUUUAUAUGUAGGUUGCUUGUUUCAGAUGCAAUCCACAUGGUUAACAAAAUAGUUAGCGUUUUUCAAUAAGGUUUAUACAGGUUCUAGCAAUUCGAAGUGAUUUGGUCUUUAUCUUAGUCUUCCCUUGAUCAUCUAGAGACUAGAGUGUUCACGGUCA
rnacentral:lncRNA from 1 species